GAUUCCUGUCUUUUGCUCAUAUUGUCUCCUAUGGAUAUGGAUUGAUAUGGGGCUUUCUACUUCUUACCUAUUCACUUCUACUUGAACCGUUCAACGAGCGUUGUAACGAUCCAAAGGAAAAUCUCCUGGCUCAGCACUAGUCAACUUGUGGGGUGUCACAUACCCUGCAGACAACAACCGCAGCAGUCACCAGUCUGGUCCCCUACCCCACAAAGUAGCUUGAUGGCCGAACCUUGUCACAUACCCUGCAGACAACAACCGCAACAGUCACCAGUCUGGUCCCCUACCCCACAAAGUAGCUUGAUGGCCGAACCACUCCCAAGGCGCAUAGUGCCCUAGGGGCCAACCGGCACCGACCGGCAGAGACUCCCGCGCAGUAGGAGCGGACUGAGUCGGUAUUCAUCUACGAGAGACGCACUCGUAUGCCUUUCAAGGCUUCUCCCUUGUAAAUAUUCUGAGGCAAGAAAGUAGAACCUCACCUCUUUCGGUUGCUGAACAUAAACCUACUUUAGAUCCACUAGAGCAUGUAGAUCUACUAGAAUACAAAGAAAAAAGUUGUUAGCCACAGAACUCUUUCUAAACCACUAGAGAUUGUCACCUACAAUAAUCAGUCGACCUACGCAACAUUGUAGAGAGACGUUCGACUCCACAUGUCCGCUUAACAGUUCCGAAGUAGCAAGAUGAGUGAAUAAAGGCGCUGUAAGCAGUAGUGAAUACUUUUUCCAUGGAGACAAACCCCUCUGGCGAAAACGUUCCCUUUGUCAGCAUAGACUGAACUUGUUGUGAACCUUUUCGAUUAUUUGUAGCGGAUCGUGAAGUAGCCCUAUUUCUUUACAAAAAAAGGAUACAUGCCCCUUUACUAAAAAGGCGGUACCCCUAUCACAACAAGGCAAGUUCAGUUGGGCCUCUCUAUUUGUUUCGAUGAAAGCCUCAAUGCUCGCGUUCUACGGGGAUGUUUUUUUGUACUAUUUACCUUCAUCAAAGCCGGAAGCAAAGGGCGAAAAAUCCAAAACAUGUAAAUAAAGGGUGCUUAUGUUGUGGUUUUGAGUUCCUUGGCUUGUGUUCUAAUAGUAACCACAGGAAGAAAGCGGGGAGCAUGGUCCCUAGUCUCGUUUUUGCCGAGCCUGAUUCUCUAUGGCAUGGACGUCUUUGAUUGGAUGGAGACAGAUAUAUAGAAAGUGUGCAGUGAGGGUGCUUGUAAAUCACUAGGUGUCUUUGAUUGGGCGGAGACAGAUAUAUAGAAAGUGUGCAGUGAGGGUGCUUGUAAAUCACUUGGUAGCCAUACAACACUUGGCCCAAGCAAUGCCCAAAAGUCCCAUGCCUUUCUUGGUCGGACCAACCUAACCGGUGAUUUCCGACAAGUCUUUCCAAAUUGGAAGAGCAAGAAGCGGAACUAGAAGAAAACUUUCUCUCUUUAUGGAUAACCAAUUCAUUUUCAAAUAUAGUUGGGAGACUAUACCCAAGAAAUGGGUCAAAAAAAUGGAAAGAUCGGAACAUGGGAAUAGAUCUGAUACCAAUACGGACUACCUAUUUCAAUUGUUGUGCUUUCUGAAAUUGCAUACCUAUACAAGGGUUCAAGUUUCGAUCGAUAUUUGCGGAGUUGAUUAUCCCUCUCGAAAACAAAGAUUUGAAGUGGUCUAUAAUUUACUGAGUAUUCGAUCCUAUCGAUAUUUGCGUUGUUGAUUAUCCCUCUCGAAAACAAAGAUUUGAAGUUUACUGAGUAUUCGGUAUAAAUCACACAUUCGUGUACAAACCAGUGCAGACGAAGUAACACGAAUAUGUCCGGUAGUCAGUCUAUUUCCAUCAGCCGGCCGGUGGGAACGAGAAGUUUGGGAUAUGUUUGGUGUUUCCUCCAUCAAUCAUCCGGAUCUACGCCGUAUAUCAACAAAUUAUGGUUUCAAGGGUCAUCCAUUAAGAUAAAACCUUCCUCUGAGUGGAUAUGUGGAAGUACGGUAUGAUGAUCCAGAGAAACGUGUGGUUUCUGAACCCAUUGAGAUGACCCUAGAAUUUCGCUAUUUCGAUUUUGAUAGUCCUUGGGAACAAUGUAGCAGUGGAUAAUUCAGAAUCAGAAUAGGUCCAGUCCAUGGGGAAAUAAAUAGGAAAUGCUAUUUGCUUCGUAAGAAUAAGAAUUCACUUCUAUGAAAUGAAAGAGUUUCACGGGAAUUGUCUUGAUCGUCGGAUAUCAUUGAGAAAGAAAUAGGUAGAAGUGUUAUCGAACAAUUUCUUGCAAUUCUUCCCACUAUGGAAUGAGAAAGAAUCAAGCUGCAAGUCUCGAUCUAUACGAAACGCAGUGGUUUUUUUUCUUUCUUUUGGUUGCAUUGAUAACAGAAAAGACUUACUCUAAAGGGGCGCUAGCGCUUGAAUAAUAACAUAUCAAAGGGGCCUGAAAAAACGUAAUAGGCUGCUACUCUAGGCUCGCUUUGCUUCUUCAAGCUCCGCCCCUUCUUUCAAAAAUAAAAAAACAGCGCUAACGAGCAAGAAAACGGAUGCGCUAAGGCGCAACUUUGCGCAGCUGCUACGCCCUUGCUUCUUGCCUUAUCUUACUUAGUAAAGCAACCUUUCGUGCUAGGCGCUCACCUUUUUUGUUUGGGUGGAAGCUGGCGGGCAGGGCUUGCUUAACCGGAUACACGGAAUUGGGAUCUCUGUUGCAUGCAAAUCUUUCUAUCGGGAAAGCCUCGCUUAUUCAAAGGGCUUCUUAUUUAGAACCCUUUUUUUUGCUUAGUUGUAAGUAAGCAUUGGUAGGAGCAGCGGGAUGAUGAUGAGUAUAUAAAUCAAUAAAGACCAAAAAAUAAUAAAUGGCAAGAUAAAUUAGAUAUCUAUGGAAAAAAUAACGAUGUAGAGGGCGACUGAAAAGGAGGCUCGACCUACAGGGAGAGUGGUGGGCAGGGAUUCUCUACAAUGACACUGUUGUAGACCAAUUGAAAGGGAUGUAGCGCAGUUUGGUAGCGCCUUUGUUUUGGGUAAAAAAUGUCACGGGUUCAAAUCCUGUCAUCCCUACCUAUUCUUCUCCUCUGGGCAGUAACGAGGGAUCCAUUGAGAUCGAUUCAAAUUGGACAUACAGAUUUUCAUUUUAUGAGACUAUAUGCAAAAUGGCAAGAUAAAUUAGAUAUCUAUGGAAAAAAUAACGAUGUACAAGGCGACUGAAAAUGAGGAUCGACCUACAGGGAGAGUGGUGGGCAUGGAUUCUCUACAAUGACACUGUUGUAGACCAAUUGAAAGGGAUGUAGCGCAGUUUGGUAGCGCCUUUGUUUUGGGUAAAAAAUGUCACGGGUUCAAAUCCUGUCAUCCCUACCUAUUCUUCUCCUCUGGGCAGUAACGAGGGAUCCAUUGAGAUCGAUUCAAAUUGGACAUACAGAUUUUCAUUUUAUGAGACUAUAUGCACUGGGCAGUAACGAGGGAUCCAUUGAGAUCGAUUCAAAUUGGACAUACGGAUUUUCAUUUUAUGAGACUGUAUGCAUGCAAGAUGUAUUGAGGGUACAAAAAGAAUCCUUUUUCUUUACAGCCGUAUCUGCUGUGAUAAGAAAGCCCUAUUAAUUCAGUUCGGUAGAACGUGGGUCUCCAAAACCCGAUGUCGUAGGUUCAAAUCCUACAGAGCGUAAUUUUUUUCUUCUUAGAUCGAAUUAGAAUGAAAUAGAUUCAUUCAGUAACUUUCACAACAAUCGGAAUUUGACCUCCUGUGCUUGUGAAUUAAAGAAAGGAGGAGGUCAAUAAAAAAAAACAGAGAUGUUAAUUAAUCAAAGGUCCAACUGAUCACUGCGCCUGUAUUGUAAAUAUGCAGUUAGGAAUAGUUCAGCCAAAGUAAUAGGAAUUAGACCUAACACGAUUCCAAAUAGAAAAACUUCAAUCAUUUCUCUUUGUUUGAAAGGAGAAACAAAAAGAGGUAAUAUCUAUACCUAAAUAUUAAUCCGAAUUGACAUGAAUCUCAAUGACAAUGACCAAGAAUUGACAAUUGGUAACGUAAGUAAAUAUAGAAUACAUGUAAUCCCACAGAAAGAUUUCUUUUUAUGAAUAAUUCAUUUUAAAUAUUCAGUUUAAAUAAUAAUUAUCCUGGUCAGACCAAUAAAUAGAGCUGAGGUUCUAGUUAAAGCCGCUAAUAGAAAAGCGAAAUAACUAGUUAGUAAGCAUGAAAGGGAUAAAUUAAAUGAAAGAUUUUCUUUUUUCAUAUGUUUAGAAAGCACUUACCUAAGUUUCCAUUUUUUCAAAAUAGGAGGAUAGGCAAAUAUCUCAAUUUCAAUUGAAAGAAGAAGUUGAAUAAAAAGUUUUUGAUUCAUAUAUCAUUAUAGGGAGACAACACUAACGAAGAUAAAGUGACAGACAUAUAAAAGAAAUUGAUUCAUCAUCUGUAACAUCUAUCCAUCCCGCAAUUGCAAUCAACCGAUUUAUUGAGUAACUCUUUGGUAAACUAAUAAACUAGUAAGAGUUGUAUCGUCUAACUUCAUUCAAAAAUGAAACUAGAAUUUUUAUAGAAUCAAAUUCUAAAAUCAUUUUUAUUUUGAUCAUUUCUUAGAUUCUGUUGAAUUGUAUCGAAUCCAUUUUCGAUUUUAAAGCGAACAGUUACCUUAUCAAACUAGAAAACUUUUUCUUUUUAAUUUCUUAGAUUAUAUUGAAUUGUAUCGAAUCCAUUUUCGAUUUUAAAGCGAACAGUUACCUUAUCAAACUAGAAAACUUUUUAUUUUUACUUUAGUUUAAGUUUAACUCAUUAGAUUCAGCAAUAUAUUAAUUCACAUAAUAUCUUGAAUGAUUGAGAAGAAGAAAAAGUAAUCACACAAUCGCUUGAAAAAAUCUUUUUUUUGGUCCAACUAAUAGUAAUUUCUAUUAGGUUCCACAUUUUUGCUUUCCAUACUGCCCCCCCCCCAAUCUUAAUAUAUGCAAUUUCUUGCUGACUUGCCCUUCUUUCCUUCCUUCCCCACCCAUACCACCCUAUUUAGAAAAAAGUGCACCGCUUGCUUGAAGUCGGUUCUUCCUCGCCUUCGAGAAGCGGGUUGUCUUUCGUCGGACUUAUAUACCGAAAGUUCGGUUAGAGCUAGCAGCUGACCCUAUUUACAUUUUUUUGAGGUUGACCUUUCCGGCAACAGAAAGAUGCCCUUCCAAUUGAAAGCGGAAAGCCGCGAGCGCCUACGUAAAUAGCUUUUUUAAUUCUCUUGAAGUCGAUUCUUCCUCGCCUUCGAGAAGCGAGUUGUCUUUUGUCAGACUUAUAUAGCAAAAGUUCGGUUAGAGCUAGCAGCUGACCCUAUUUACAUUUUUUUGAGGUUGACCUUUCCGGUAACAGAAAGAUGCCCUUCCAAUUGAAAGCGGAAAGCCGCGAGCGCCUACGUAAAUAGCUUUUUUAAUUCUGACCUUGUCCAUCCUAAAAUAAUGAGAAAGUGUGAAAAUCACACCCAACCUUCGACACAGGAUAAAGGUCUCCUCUUCUGUUCCGCUUUCUUCUGCUCACCAAAUCGAAACUCCAUUUCAAAACUCGGAUCCUUCGACACAGGAUAAAGGUGUCCUCUUCUGUUCCGCUUUCUUCUGCUCACCAAAUCGAAACUCCAUUUCAAAACUCGAAUCGAGGACCCACACCUUCCCAAAUUCUACUUUUUUCCCCGUAACAGCAGCAGAAAGAGUGAACUUGCCCAGCGAGGGUUGAGACCAAUGCUAUCAAUAAGAAGGAGAGACGGUUUCCACUGCCUCAGAGGAGAACAACCCCUCAAGUUUUUUCCUUUGGCUUCAUCUCUGAGGUAAGGCAAGCAUGGCAAGCCGAAUGACUCUUUAUCCUUUCUUUUCCCAGACGAGACCCUCUCAGACAGAAAUUCUUCUGGAAACUCUUUGAACCGCUUGCUCUGAUCGCUUCGACGAUUCUACAUACCGGCCGGAAAGAGAGAGAGAGAGCAGUGUGAUUGUCCAUAUAAUGGAAAUAAUAGAUAUGCACUGUCGUAGAGCUUCGCUAGCAGUGUCGAGUUUAGCUCGCGAUUCGACUUCAACUAAGGACCUGAACUGAAUGGAAUUUAAGAGCUCUCACGCGGCUAUCUAAAGAAUGAAGAACUGCUACUGAACGAGAGCGAGUGAAGUGAGUAAGCACGGAACGAGCUAAAUAGAAGUUGUAGCAACGAGCUACUAAGGAAUGACUGUGUUGAAGUUUCAAACGUAGAGCUCGGUACAUUCAAUUUCAUAAUUGUAUUCCAGGCUUAGCACAACAUCCUUAUGCACCCAUUUCACAUAUUAGGCCUAGCUGGUGUAAAUGACGGCUCCCUAUUUAGUGGUAUGCAUGCUUCCUCAGUAACUUCUAGUUUGAUCAGGGAAAGCACAGAAAAUGAAUCUUCUAAUGAAGGUUACAGAUUCAGUCAAGAGGAAGAAACUUAGAAUAUCGUAGUCGCUCAUGCUUAUUUUGGCCGAUUGAUCUUCAAAUAUGCUAGUUUUAACAACUCUCGUUCGUACACAUCUUCUCUUUGUUUCCCGUGCCUCUAGUGAGUUAGAGACAGAGUUCGAAAAGGUCAAAUCUUUGAUGAUUCCAUCAUCUAUGAUUGAGUUGCGAAAACUUCUGGAUAGGUAUCCUCCAUCUGAACCGAAUUCUUAACAUGUCAAGUCUUUGAUGAUUCCAUCAUCAAUGAUUGAGUUGCGAAAACUUCUUGAUAGGUAUCCUCCAUCUGAACCGAAUUCUUUCUAGUUAAAAUAAUCUCUUUCUAGUAGCUCUGGAACAAUUAGGAGAUUCUAUACGGGGCUUUGCUUCUGAUGGCAACAUUCUUGGUCCCGCUUAUGGGGUCAAAUCAAUACGUUCUAAGAAGAAAGAUUGGAAUAUCAAUCUCCUCGAGAUCAUCGAUCUCAUACCAAAUCCCAUCAAUCGAAUCACUUUUUCGAGAAAUACGAGACAUCUAAGUCAUACAAGUAAAGAGAUCUAUUCAUUCAAUCUCAUCGAGAUCAUCGAUCUCAUACCAAAUUCCAUCAAUAGAAUCACUUUUUCGAGAAAAUACGAGACAUCUAAGUCAUACAAGUAAUGAGAUCUAUUCAUUUUUAAGAAAAAGAAAAAAUAGGGAUUGGAUUGAUGAUAAAAUAGAAUCAUGGGUCGCGAACAGUGAUUCGAUUGAGGAUGAAGAAAGAGAAUUCUUGGUACGGUUCUCACCUUAACGACAGAAAAUAGGAUUGAUCAAAUUCUAUUGAGUUUGACUCAUAGUGAUCAUUUAUCAAAAAAUGACUCUAGUUAUCAAAUGAUUGAACAACCGGGAGCAAUUUACUUACGAUACUUAGUUGACAUUCAUAAAAAGCAUCUAAUGAAUUAUGAGUUCAAUCCAUCCUGUUUGCAAUUUACUUACGAUACUUAGUUGACAUUCAUAAAAAGCAUCUAAUGAAUUAUGAGUGCAAUCCAUCCUGUUUAGCAGAAAGACGGAUAUUCCUUGCUCAUUAUUAGACAAUCACUUAUUCACAAACUUCGUGUGGGGAAAAUCAUUUUCAGGGAAAACCCUUUUCGCUCCGCUUAGCCUUAUCCACCCUCUAGGGGUAUAUUAGGGAUUGGUUCUAUAGGAACUAGACGAUCCUAUUUGGUCAAAUACCUAGAGACAAACUCCUAUGUUCCUUUCAUUACGGUAUUUUUGGGCAAGUUCCUGGAUAAGAAGCCUAAAAGUUUUCUUCUUGAUGAGAUCGAUAUUGAUGAUAUUGACCUUGAUACGGAGCUGGAACUGCUAACUAGGAUGGAUCAGGAUGAGCUAGGCUUUCAACAGCAUAAGGCACAUUCGUGAAGUGCAGCUUGACAGCAAUAAGGAAUCAGUCUCCCCUAUCACCAACCUGUACCUUCUUUCAAUGCACCAUUUAAGGCCAAAAAGCAUGGCCUUUGCUUCUGCCCAGUUGCUGGUUCCAGCACCCAAGGGAAUGGAGUAAGCAUGUACCUUCUUUCAAUGCACCAGUUAAGGCCAAAAAGCAUGGUCUUUGCUUCUGCCCAGUUGCUGGUUCCAGCAGCCAAGGGAAUGGAGUAAUCCAUAAUAAGAGCACCCAUACUAUCUCUGACAACACCACCACCUCCACAAAUACCAUCUCUACAGCUACCAUCACUAUUAAGCUUGACAAAAAGCAGUGGUGGCUUGAUCCACCUAACCAAAGCCACAGAUUUCUAAGUCAUUGAAGCAUCACACAGAUGACAGAUACUCUUCCAGCUCUCACCUACUCAAACCUUGCCAAACUGAGAAUGCAACAGGUGAGAUAAGGAGUAUGUGAUCAAUGCCUUGGAUCUAUUGAGUGAUGGUUUUUCAGAACCAUAUUUAUUGCUGCACCUGGACCUCCACAGCUCCCAGCAAACCAAAGGAGGCAUGACCUUAGUAAUAUAUGAAGCCACAGGAUUAAGGACCUUGUGGUUCCACCAAUUAAGAAGUAGCAUUCAACAAUUGAUGUUCCCAAACCAGUUGAGCAAAAACACCAGAGCAAAAGAGAUGCUCAACAGAUUCUAAGCUUGAGUUCACAGUAGAGUCAACACAGCAAUAACAUUUAGGGGAAAGAGAAUGACCAAACCUGGACACUCUCUCAUCAGUUGGGAGUUUAUCAUGGACUGCUCUCCAGGUAAGAAAUGCCAUUUUAAAAGGCACAUCCCUAUGCCAUAUCUUUGAAUCUAAAAAGGACACCUCUUUUUUCUGUCUAAGCAUAUUCCAGGCUGAAGCAAGAGAGAAUUUACCUGAUGCAGUUGGAGACCAAAUUGCCAAAUCAUCUUCAUCUGGACUGAGUGUAAGCUGCAUAGAGGAGAUGAUGUUCUUCACAAAGUCUGGAGGUUGAGUGUGCAGACAAUCCCAGUGCCAUUGAUUGUCCUUAAACACUUCAUUGACCCUGAUCUUGUCUUGCCUAGAAUCAUCUACUAAAAAGCUGUGCAAGGGGCUCAACCCUCCUCUGUAUGAUGAGCCAGAGUUAGAGCCGACAAUAAGCUAAUGGAUGCCAUCUCUGCUGGAUAAUUAAUUCCUCCCUUUCAAUUCACGGAAAGCACAGUCGAAAAGACGUAAUGAAAUUGGUGAGCGCUUGCCUUACCUAGUAGGGCAACCGACCAAGGCUCAGACCCUUAUGAAUCGGCCGUCCGGGCCUGUCAAGUUAGGCCUUCGUAAAAAAGUCCACAGGGCGUUAAGCUCGGUGAGGUGGGUUCGAAAGAUAGAGAGUUGAUGAGGAGGCUUUUAUAAGAAAAAAGGCAUGGGGCUUUUGGGCCUUGCUUGGGCCGAGUGUUGUAUGGCUACCUAGUAAUUUACAACCACCACUCUAUCUAGCCUAAGGAAUUUGCUAUCCGCGCUUUUUUUUCGAUCUUGUACCUUAGUACACUGAACACUUACCUAAUCUUGAAUCUUGAAAGUAGAGUCUCUUUUUCAAUCAACUGGCAUACCUUGAACCUAGCCCGAAAUUCUUUCUUUACUUUAUCUUAUCAAAUUUCUAGUUUGUGAUCGAGGGCGGCCAAAUAUGAGAUAGGUUGCAGGUAUAGUCAGAACUGAACUUGGCUAAUUUCGUAAUGUUGACCCCACGGAGCGGUAGUGAAGGAGACAUCAAAUGGAUGGAAAUUCUCCACAUUAUGGUUGCUGCCGCUUCUAUCUCCGGCGCUCUGAUUAUCGGGUAUGACUGUUACUUUCUUGCCUUGCCCCACUCCCACCCACCUCUUCCGAAAAGACAACCUCGAUCAUUCAUUACAUAUGAUAUAUCGAGAGUUCAAGACCAUAACGUAAUUCAUUUAGAGAAUGCCGAUGAGAAAGUAGAUCUGGUUCCGAGAUCUGGAAAGCUGUGAAUACAGUUAGUGAAGCUAGACCGGGAAGUGGGGUAUCCCUGGAAAAGAGGUCGGCCUUAAGUUCUAGCUUAGAUAGCUUAGACUGAAGAGUUGUAGCUUUGCUUUCUGAAAGAGUCAUUUUCUCGUUAUUAGAGAGAAGCAGAAGCCUUAGAAGGGAGCACUCGUGGCACACUUACUAUAUCCCAUUCCAGCCUCACCUUACCCAUUCUUAACUAACCUACCUUGCUUUUCAAAUAUAAAUAGAAAAGCACUCAGGUCAACAGCUCCUUUCAUCAUGGUUCACUGUCCCUAAUCAAUUUUGAUCACUAAAAAAGAUCUCUGCAGGUCCUUCUCCUGGAAGACAGAAUCAAAGGUAGACAACUUUCACUUCAAUAAGAGGUAAGGCAGAAAAAUGGAAAAAGGAAUGGCACCUUGACUUUGAAAACUCAAAGGGCAAGCAAGGGAAGUGCAAGCUAACUAAUGGCAAGGGCCGGAGAUAGAGAGUGAUGAAGGGGGAAGAGGAGCUUGGUAGCUUGCGUAAGUCCAGUUUCAGAGGUUCAGAAGCCAAAGGCAACUCUCAGACCAUUUGAGUUUACAGACUCUGCCGCUUAGGUGACUACGAGAUAGAACAGGUUCAAAAGCCAAUGGCAACUCUCAGACCAUUUGAGUUUACAGACUCUGCCGCUAAGGUGACUACCAGUAGAGGAACUGAACGGGCAAGAAGACCUACUAAAUAGGAGUAAAAGGUGCUAUCCCAAUAGGUUCCAGAUCGGAACGAGCAAUAAGUGAAGGAGCUUGACCAAUCCCAAUGAGGGAAGUAGUGAAAGAGAAGCGGAAGGGACAUCUUGAACUCAGGGGGAAGGGACCUUAAUGACAACAAAAGAAGUGCGUGCAUUUCCCGAUCAAAGAAGCCCUUGAACUCACCUCCAUUCAACAAAGAAAUUUCACACAUGAACUCUCCUCGGGAUUGGACUCUUUCUGACAGCCCUUUUGCCAGCGUAGAUGAAUCUUCUAUCCAGAUCUGAUUUCGACCCAUCGGGAUUGGACUCUUUCUGACAGCCCUUCUGCCAGCGUAGAUGAAUCUUCUAUCCAAAUCUGAUUUCGACCCGUCUUCCAACACACCUUCAACCAACCAUAGAGAUCAGGAGUGAGAUAUCAGAGUCGACCUCCUUGUCAAGUCAGAUAGAUGACUAGCAUAUAGAGAUGCUUACAACAUCAUUCUUUGAAUAACUGAAAACAGAAGCGACGAAGCAAGGAGCUUAGCGUACCGUUUUUGACUACCUUCUCUGUCAUGUCUGAGUUCUAACAUUCUAGGGAAUCUGUGGUUUGCUUUGUCAAUGCCACUUUCAAUAUGCUUCAAACAUACAAGUUUGGUUGAACUGUUCACAUUGGCCAUCUAGAGAGAUUAUAUACAGUGUGCCGUUAGGGAGGAGAACUCUUGAAUAGGAAAGAGGGGGAAAACAGACGAUGAGAUCAGUCGCAGGCCAAUGAACAUAUCUAAAUUGACAGCAAUAAAUAGCUUUGCUUUGCGUAAAUAAAUAUAGAUGCCCCUGACUCGGGGAUUAGCUGUUCCUCGUCUCUUCCCUACCUUCUUGGGUCAGCAGUUGAUCUCGUUGCCUCAUACCUUUCUAGGGCGUGACCCCUACCAUAACAGAACGACUCGCCUUUCCAUGCGCUAAGCUGGGCAGAGCGCUUUCAGUAAAAGGACUGUACCAAUUAUAGAGUAGCAUUCUUCUCCUUCACAUCGUCGGUCAACUUUAGGGACAGUGGAUAGAGCUCGUCCCUAUUUGACUGAAGAGGGUAUGGUUCGCUCCAAUAACAAGUGCUACUUGUUGACUGCCACAUACCGGCUUUCCUCAGGCGUUGACUGUGGCAAGGCUAGCCGUCUAUCAAGAGAAGAAAUUUUCCUGAAUCAAUGAGAGAGAUCAAUGUGCAUAUUUCCUUUCCAAUCUACCUCUUGGUUGAGAGAAAUGCGCCUGACUCGAUCGGUACCACUGCAACUAACUUGGCUGGAAGGGGCUAAAAAGGACGUGAUUGAUAACACUUCUUUUGGCCUGGAGAGGAGUCUGACGUACUUCUAUCACUCAGAGAAUGCUUAAGAACUGGCCACCAAACAAAGAGAUCUGAUGCUCGACUUCCUAAAAGAAAUAAAGCCCGGUAUGGAUAUUCAUUCCGCUAGAGCAAAGGCAUGAAGUGAAGGAGGCCGCUAAGGUUGAGCCUUACUAAUUUUAAAGAGUCAUAUUCAAUCACCUGGAAAUAUCCACAUUUGUGAAUUGAAGUUGUGGAGGGAGAUCCAUGCAAUGGCAUUUCAUCAACAUAUACCACUUCUUCUUCUUCCCUUCUUGGGCAUUUGGAACUGUUAGCAGUUGAGGACGAACUUCAGGCUUUCUAUGAGUGGAAAUCUGAUUAGCGAACCCUCUUUCAUAUCUCCGCCUUUCCCUUCUAGUCAUGGUCACCAUUUUGUUAUCACUGCGUAAGACUACUUCACCAAGUGGGUUGAAGCAAUACCAAUAGCCUUAAGAUUGGAAAGUCGCUUUUAAGCCCAAGUUCAAGUACCUCUUCCUUUCCCUUCUAGUCAUGGUCACCAUUUUAUUAUCACCGUGUAAGACUACUUCACCAAGUGGGUUGAAGCAAUACCAAUAGCCUAAAGAUUGGAAAGUCUCUUUUAAGCCCAAGUACAACCAAACUAGCAGGAAAUGAAAGCAGAAAUGGAUCUGCGUCACUGUCUGUAUGCUUGUAUUCAAGAAUCAAUCAACCAAAGAAGCAAUCAACAAAUCAAGUUGAGGUAUCAAAGUCUAUCCUGUCUUCUUUCGUUUCGACCCUGAUGUAUGAGAUGAGGAAUCCCUCAUAGCUAGAUUCAUCAGUAGCUUAGAAACUAGGAACUGGAUGAGGGGAAGAGAUGAGAAUAGGCCUCGCCCAUUCCAUUACGGCAUUCUCAGGAAUCCCUCAUAUCUAGAUUCAUCAGUAACAUAGAAACUAGGAUCCGGAUGAGAGGAAGAGAUGAGAAUAGCUCUCACCCAUUCCAUUACGGCAUUCUUUUCUUGAUCACCAGAUAUUGAUAGAAAAACUGUCACACCAAAAGAAAGACACAGGGGGAGCUGCGGCAAGGGUAAGAUUGAGUCUAGGCUUAAUGCCCCAACGAGCACAGUUAGAAGAGAAGCCUUUGGGCAAAUUGAUAGGAAUCAGAGGAGAAAGAUAGAGCCGUUGCCGUUCUAGCCGGUGUCAAAAGACGUGAAGUGAGGGCGUGGUUCAAGUCACAUCGUAUUCUCGUCUUCAUAAAGGUUAGAGUUUGACUGUUUGUUGCCAAUGAGAAGAGUUCAUUGAUUAGGUCCUACUAUGGGUCUGUAGCUGACAGCGGCAGUGAUUUUCUUAUCGAUUAUUGUAGAUUAAUAAGACCCAAAAUUGGUAGCGAGUAGAAUAAAAAAGUUAUGUGUACGCACAAGACCUCACUUGGGACAAGCAUAUCUACAUGUAUAUUAAGAGUGAGUAGAAUAAAGAAGUUUCUUCUAGAAUGCCGAUUAGUAGGUAAAUCGCCCACUAUAUAUAGCACCUAUCGGACGGGGAAACUUUAUUGAAUUGAGCUCGGUCUAGAAGGUGUAAGCAGGGAUGUGGAUUGAGUCCAAGCACAGGAAGGAUCUGACUAGAAAGUCGUCUUGCUGAUGCGAUAGUCCUCUGGGUAUGGCCACAUUCGUCUCGACAAUAGGAUAGGGAAAGAAAAUCCAUAGACGAGACCAACUGGGACCGAACCUUUCUAUCUUGUUCUUUCUCUUUUUGUUCCCGCCAGCCAAAGACCUAUGUUUCAAUAACGAUGAAGGGAUACUAGAAAGGAAAGGGCUUCAGGAGAGAUGGUUAGAUUGGAUGGGUGUAGUUGAUCGAUCGAACUACAAUGAUUUGAAUAAAGACAGACAGACUUCCGUGCGAAAGAUAGAACGACAAAACUUUAUUAUUAUAUUAUUGCAUUUUUCCUAAACUUCGUCAAGCCUAUCCGCUCAUUUGUUCCAAACCAGAGUUUCUAGUUUCAAGAUCGCGCUUUUAGUACGCGUGUGGUGAGAUGUUCCAAGCCCGGUAUCUACUGAUUUUGCCAUUCCUAUGAUUCAAAGGAUUCACCAGCUAUAGGGCAGUUAGCGCAGACAUCAAGUAAGGGCUCGUAGGCUACUCAUGCCAAAUAUCCGAUUUUUUGGCAGUUAGCGCAGACAGCAAGUAAGGGCUCGUAUGCUACUCAUUUUUCAAGGGGAAGAGAAGAGCUCCAGGUCAAGCCUCUUAUUAUAUUUAUUCUAUUGGGUCUACCCGUUGGGCCGGUAAGCGAGACAGAAGUCUCACUGUUCGUGGUGUUGCAAUGAAUUCAUUGGAUGAUAAUAGCAUAUAAAGAUUUUCUUACUACUUCCUCCUCUAUCUAAGUGUCAUGUUUUAGCUCAUAGGUGGUUCGUUUUGAAGUGACUUCAUCUAUAUGUUUAACACAUGCGUGUACUACUCGUUGUGUAGUAAAAUUUCCUGUCAGUCACGAUUGGAUUUGAAUCAAUAUAAAGCUUAGUAGAUCGUGAGUCUUGGUUCUUAGCGAAAUGCUACGCGCUAUCUUACAUACCAGUAAAAUUUCCAGUUAGUCACGAUUGGAUUUGAAUCAAUAUAAAGCUUAGUAGAUCGUGAGUUUUGGUUCUUAGAGAAAUGCUAUGUGCUAUCUUACAUAUAAUGAUUUAGAUCACCAAAAAGGAAUUCCAGUAAUAUCGUACGGUGGAAUGACAAUGUCACUGAAGGGAAUAAUCUAAUAUAGGACUGCUCACCUGUGUAAAGACAUUGAAUUAGUUCUCAGUGAAAGAGGUCUCGAGUCAAGGAAGAAAAACCAAGCUCUGUCAGUCUGACCUCCUCAGAAGUACGUGAUUUUGCCUUCCCAACCAAUUGAAGUAGGAAGAACCCUGGAAGAAGAAAAACCAAGCUCUGUCAGUCAGACCUCCUCAGAAGUACAUGAUUUCGCCUUUCCAACCAAUUGAUAUAGGAAGAACCCUCGACCUAUUCAUUCCUUUUCAGACUCGCCUAGCGGUCUUUUUCAUAUCGUAAAGCGGUAUUUCUCUCUUUUAUCAUCUCUUCAAGGAGAUAGAGCUUCGGUUCCGCCUCUUCCUAAUGGACUACGAGGACCUAGGACUGAGGACUUUUAGAAAGAAGGAUUACCGUACUGGCUUACGCUUAUUAAGAACAGACUGGCUCACUUCCUGGCUUUUUUAUUCAAAGAAGGCAAAGAAGGAGAGGAAAGCACAGACGGGAAAGAAAGGGGAAGCUCCUACUCAAGUCAUCGAGUGACAUAUAAAACAAGGAGACAUCUUUAUGCAUGCGCAAAAGGCGAUUAAUCGAGAUAGUGCAGAGGUGACAAAGCAUGCAUGAGGUUUCCUUCAAUCUGGUGGUCCCAACAAAAAAAACAUUAGAGCUCGCGGCCUCAGUUGGCAAAAUAAGGGUUGUUGCCCCGUUGUGAAGACAACUGAAUGCUAUUGUUAUUUAUUUCACUUGAGAUGGGCCUUCUUACCACUGCUUCUGCCUAUUACUAUUCUUUUGUUGUGCUUCCUGGACAAAAGCUGGUUAGCCUUUUUUUUACUUACAACUCAAGUAAUAUUAGCUAUUUGUGUAAAGCAACGAUUCGUCAACCCACUCGCUUUCUUAGUUGCUUAUUUUUUUUGUAUACAUCAACCGGUUGCCUAAAUGCAAGAUCUUCAUUAUCACUAUCUAAAGAGGAAGACUCUGUUCAAAGCGGUAUGGUUCUAGUUUUUUGAAAAACAAUAGCUUAUCGCUAAUCGCUUAUACCCGGCCAUCCUGAUAGUGAGCUCCUUUCAAAGUUUCAAACACAAUCCCUAGCGUAAGUCGCAAUCAACUUGAUGCACUUUGUCGGACUAAUGAGAAUAGGACCUAAUUAGAGGUGGUUGGCGCCUAUAUACCACCUCAAACACUCUUUGUUUGGUUUCUGAAUGAUAAGUGGUAUUGUACCACUAUUCCGCCCAUGGUAACCAAUGUUCCCAUUCCUUUUGAAUAUCUCUUGUAAAGCAUCCCAGGUAGUUCUCUAAGCACCGAUUAAGCACCUCCCUCACAGUUUGCAUGAGAUUCCACUUAUUCUAUGUCAUUUUAAGCCCUAGGUAGUUGUUCCUCACGCCGUUCUGUUCUUGGUCUGAUAGUCUAGUUAACGGUUUCUAAUCUACUUUCUAUCUUGUACAGAUCUUCCUUGACCUUUCUUCCUCGUCCAGUGACGUAUUUGCUCCCUCUUUCAGUAAGUCUUCUUCUUUAGUAAGAAGAGUACUGCCUAAAGCAAUCUGAGUUAAAGUGUCUAUAUGGGAACCGGCCAUAAACUCCUUUUCUGGUGUAGAUCCCCUUCCUUGUGAAUCAGUUUCCCGGGUACAAGGAUUGAGUGCUCCUAAUGUCUUUUCUCUCUUUCGGUCUAGAUCGUCUCUUUUUCUAUGGAGACCUUUUCAAGUCAUCCAUUUUCUUUGGUAUGGAUUCAAAGUAAUCUCUCACGCUGGUGCAGGGAGUUCUGCUUGUGCUCUUUCUUUUUGGUCCGGGCCAGGCAGUCCAUAUGUCUUUUGGUCUUGAUCUGAGCACUCGUCUAACUACUAAGAAAGCUCGAGGGACCUUUAAUUCUGAGUUAUUGGCUACCGGUCUUACUUCUCUUGGUCAGUUCUAAAGGUCUAAGGGGAAGACCUUUUCAUACUCUUCAACUCUCGGUGAUUUCUUCCUUUCUCUAUCGAAAGAGAGUGAGUGCAAACCUUAAGGGGUCGUUAGCGAGAAAUGAAUCAGGCAUCGGUCGUUCUAGCGGUAAGAGUCCUUCGGAUGUUGAAUGGUCUGGUCAACUCGUUCCGUUCCUGUGUAGAAAGGAAGUAACCCGUGGGUAUCUUCUAUUGAUUAACGAACUGGGAAUCAUAGCUCGCUCUUCCUUUGCUUUGGAUCUUCGGUAACCACCCUUCUUCUGAAGUAACCCGUGGGUCUUCUAUUGAUUAACGAACUGGGAAUCAUAGCUCGCUCUUCCUUUUCUUUGGAUCUUCUGUUACCACCCUUCUUCAUAGAAAAAGAGAGCUUAGAACCUCGUCUAUUACGACGGUACGAAGAAAUCAAUGGCACUGGGGGAAACUCAGUCCAGAGAAGAAAAUGUCAAUUAGGAACGAGUAGUCAGACGCAGACCAGCACAUGUGGGCGCCACAGUUGUCUUCCUCCAUAUGAUAUCACGCAAGAGGCGAAAGAAUCCCUUUACCUUUUUUACAAAAAAAGAACGCGGUCGAUCGGAGUGCCCUUCCUUCUUUUUGAGGCUUUUAGGCCUCCGAUCAAUCAGGGGUUGACAUGAGACCGGAAUUUGGGGGGAAUCCAUUCUUUGCCCUACUGUCUGUGGUAAGUUAGUUUGCUUUGCCUUCUCGCUCGAAUUCUUUUCAAUGUAAUUGAAUUCAAUAGUAUGACUUCUAUUUCAUUGGGAACUUGAUGAGUCGAUCCGCCUACACGUCUUGCUUUUACUGCUAUAUCGGGUCUUACUCCACGUAUUGCUUAUGGGAACUUGAUGAGUCGAUCCGCCUAUGCGUCUUGCUUUUACUGCUAUAUCAGGUCUUACUCCACGUAUUGCUUGACGUAAAAGAGAUAGUGGAUUUCUUGCUGUCUUUUGUUGAAUCGCUCGAUAGGGAAUUUGAUAAGCCAGUAUCUGUGGUAAGUUCCAAUGCUUGAUAAAGUAAAGUAAAGAAAGGGCUUUCUAUAAAGAGUAAGUCAGUCCCCUUGGUUCCUUAGCUCUUUACACAGAAUCUCCCAGUUUGCUAAACAAUGACAUCUCUCCUUAUAUCAAGAAUGUGCAUCCCGUUAUGGAUGAUGCAUCUUCUCGGUUUGGUGAAGUGUUCUGUAGCGGAGUCGCCGCCAUACCUACCGGGGCGGGUAAGCUACGAGUGUUCAUCAUAGGUAACUAUGUGAAGCAGAGGCUGUUGAAGCCUUAUCACGACUGGGCGAUUUCAGUUUUGCGUCGCUUAGAUUGUGAUGGUACUUACAAUCAAACAAAACCCCCUUGAGCGGGUUGGUCCGCUUUCCAAUUUCUUCUUCUCUUUUUCUAUAUUUCUAUGUCGAGGGAAUCGGAGCAGAGAAGGUUUUUCUCCCUAAAAAAAGCCUCUUUCCGUUGCUCGACUCGAAGCAAGCACGAGCUCUAACUUAAAGUAGGUCUAGAACGACUGAGAUUAAGUAGUUUUCUAUUUUAUCUCCAGGCUAUGAAAGAUCUGGGAUUUCGUUCCAGGAAAUCUGUAUAUUGUUUUAACAUAUCUAAUAGGGAGAGGAGGAGACAAACACAAAGGUAUGGCGAGAUCACAUCUCCCGUUACUAUAGUAGAGCCUAUACGGGGAAUACGAUAAAGUGAUGCCGACAAUUCAAUAACUAAUCAAGAAAGUAACUCACUGAACUGAACCAGCUCCCACUAAACAAAACAAGCUUAAAAUGGGGCUUAUUCUUGAACAAACCUUACUGUAGAAAAAAGGAGAUUUUCUUUGUCGGCUUGACUAAUCUUUCUUUUUCUUAUACUCCCCUUUGAGAAGAGAAGGAAUAGAAAUUGAGAAAGAGAUAUUCGUUGGCCGUUAAAUGACCACCUAUGAACCUUUUUAAUAAGCUUUUCCUCGUGGGAAUUACAAGAAUAAAGAAUCAUCCUUCUCGUAUACAUUUCAUAGACCUCCCUAUUAUCCUACUAAUAAAGAAACUAAAGCACUAAUGGGUUUCUGAUGAAAAUAAGGAAUAAGGAAGUGGAGAGUGAAGCGAUAGAAAAUGGUCCAUAGUGAGAUACUCAAGCAAAGCAAGAGAGAAGAUGUCCGGCCGAGAGGAAGUCGUAGCUGGAGUUAAAUGUUGAAUGUUCUAAGAAAUUAAUUGUUCGUGGGAUGGAUCAACGUUAAACCUUGGGCCAUAGAUAUUCUUUAAAGGACAACACAACCCAUUGUUGGUAAUGAUAGUAAGUAGGGAGAAGAGAAGAAUUCAAACUAACCAACUCGGAAUCUGCCUCCGAUCGAAGAGUUCUCCUAUUCUAUUAUUUAUUCCCGCCUGCCCUCUUUCUUUUGUCUGUCUGAUAAGAAGUUAUUAGUGAAUCUCCGCCCUUUCCUUCGGUUCGUGAGAAUAUUCUAUAUUCUCAACCAAAGAACAAAGAAGGGUUCAGAAGUUUGAGUUCUUAAUGAAGGGUUUCGGUUCGUGAGAAUAUAGAAUAUUCUCAACCAAAGAACAAAAAGGGAUCAGAAGUUUGAGUUCUACCGGUUUUCCUGCCAUAAGCCAAGGAAUAAGUUCUCUCAAAGUAAAUCAAUAACGCGAGGUGGCAUCUUUGCUUUCCGAUAUGAAUGCUUACUCCUUUUCCUAGUUGUGACGACGUAAACAUUAGAGGAUCACUCUGUUGUUACCACCAAAAGUAAAAAAUAGACCUCAGUGAAAGAUUCUUAGUCAGUCGAACUCUCGAGAAUAUCCUAAUAACUUAGUGAGAAAUGUCAAUUGCGAGCUCUAGAAGAUGUCCCCGAUCUUGAAUUCCUUUAUUUGAUGGUAAGGAAAAACCAAAAAGAAAGACCCGUGCCGUCUCAGCUUACUAUUGAUUGGCUUGAGGUGGAAUGUUUGCAAAUAACCUGAAAUUUUUGAAUUUCAUUUAAACUUUUAUCUCUUCUGUCACAGAUCAGCUGUUGAUCUAAGACAUAUCUUUCAAUGUCUCCAAGUCUUCUUUCCGAUCGAAACAAAGAGGCCGGCUCUAACGCUCUCACCCCCAAUCCCUUGAUCCCCGGCCCAAUAACGAACCACCAAUAUAAUUCGACCACCUCUGCUGCAUUUCCAUAUCCAAUGCCGGGAGCUAGGCUCGAGCUUGCCAAAAAACCUCAGGGAUAAAAGAGCCAAUCAAUCCAAUGAUCCCCAUCUUAUAAAAAAAGAAAAGGCAAUCCCCGCCUUCUCUUUAGCCCUCUGAACGAAGUAGCUAAUGAGCUACAUAUGAUCCGAUUCGUAGUUUCUCUUCGCAAAAGAACACCAACUGGUGAAGUGGAUACCAUCUCAUUCAGUCAAUCAAUCCCAUAUUUCUUCAGGUCAAAUGCAAGGAAUUGCUAUAGAAGGCGAAAGGGCACCAAAUAGUUCCCUCGUUUCGGUGUCAGCCAUCUUUCCUAUUUCAUCGGUCCCACCAACUAUGAAUUGCUAUAAAAGGCGAAAGGGAACCAAAUAGUUCCCUCGUUUCGGUGUCAGCCAUCUUUCCUAUUUCAUCAGCCCCACCAACUACUCAAUCUCUUUGUUCCCCCUUAUUGAUCCCAUGGCUACAGAGCCUAUCCGUUCAUCAUUUCCAUUAGUAAGGGGAACCAGACCCGAACUCUCCAUCUUUAGCUAAGGUCUUUUGAAAAACUUCACUUCAUUUGUUCCAAUGCGUAAGAAGCUUGAAAGCGAUAACUCCACUAGUUUUGCCCCUAGUACCUGUCCCUAUAUUUGAAUCUCCAUCAUUGACAAAACCAGGAUCAAAUGCGACGUCCAUCGACCGGAUAAUACCUCCAUAUCCAAAUCAAUCUGUCCAGCUUCUGCUCCCCAUUAUCAGUAACAGAAGGAGCAUCUCAACCAACCUCGAAUCCUUCUUUUUUUCCUCCCGACCAAAUCUGUCAUGAUUCUUCAGAGUGUCGUGAAAUCACGAAUCAUCUUAUAUAUAUAUAUAAAUUUCUUUCGUUAUAUUCUAAGGUAGAGCCAGUUGAGGUCCAUACAACGAAUGAAGUGUAAUUUUUCCGUUGACUUCAUAUCUUCCUUGUGUAUUUUUCUUUUUCCACGGGAUCACCAUUCUCCUAGAGCUCGAGCAUGAAACUUGAUUACACAGAUUCGGUUCGGUCGCAGGAGCGAAGCCACGACCACCUCUUGACGUAAGGCACGACGUAGUGGAGGAGCACUUUUAAGACGUACCCUACAGCAUCAGGUCACAGGAGUGAAGCCACGACCACCUCUUGACGUAAGGUACGACGUAGUGGAGGAGCACUUUUAAGACGUACCCUAGAACAUCUAGUCUUUAGACAAGUUUUUAUUCUAUUGGAGACGGCGGAUGAGGUGCAAAAGGACAAAUGGCAUUACCAAGAACCAGAUAUGGUGUGAUUGAAUCUCGACACGGAGGAGGCAUCAAAGAUGAUUGAAAUAGGGAUUUUUCUAUUUAGUUAACACAUUUUGUCAUUGAGUAUUAAAUUCUUAGUGUACCAUAGGCGGUAAUCUGGCUUUAAUCGAUUCCCUUCUUAUAGUUAAAGAUUUCAGUCUGGAAACAAAAACAUCAGUAAGGUGUUUUCGUUCGGAUAUAAACAUGGCAAUCUACGUAUGUGAAGUCUCGAUGAAGCUGUCCAAGUGUAGAUCCAACGCACUACUCAAGUAGGCUUUCCUACUGCCAUUGAGAAAGAAAUGCCCUUGACGCAUUUCCACUUGCUUCAAGCCUUUCUUUCUAGUUGCUAUAUUCCAGUAGUGAUUCGAUCCCUUGACGCAUUUCCACUUGCUUCGAGCUUUUCUUUCUAGUUUCUAUAUUCCAGUAGUAAUUCUAGAAGGAAUUCAUGAGUGACUGACUAUACUAUGGAUGUACACCUCUUCCUUAUGGAUAGAUGGUGCCACCGCACUGUAAAAAAUUCUCUGUUUACGAUUCUAUCAAAUACGAAUUUUCUUUAUCAACAUGGUAGCAAGAAGAGAGACAGCGGAUGUACUUGAAGAGAAAGUGGAGCUUCACCAGGCCUUUAGUGAUUAUUAUUAAGUCUUGUCUAAGCCCCAAUCGGGUAAGCGAACUGUCUUACGACAAGAAGUAGUCAUGGGAAGGGUUACCCAUAGAAUAUAGAAUCGGUAGUAGCCCGGGUUCGAGCAUUAGAAAGGAGUGCAAAUAAGGGCCAAGCAGAGGCUUCAUCUAGUAUCCCCAAAAGCAAGCAAAGAAUCAGUUUAUUCGUGAAAAUAUGGGAUGGGAGUUGCCCGAAUCAAAUACGAAACAACAUAUUUUGAGAUUAUUAACGCUUUGAAACUUAACUUCUCCGCAGGGAUCUGAUUGAACCGGUCUAGAAAAGGUCAUUGCUGAACAAAGCUCCUAAGGUCCCCAUUCGGGGAUUUCCCCGUAAAAUCUAAGUCCUUUCUUUACACAGAGUGAAGCAUCCGGCAAUGCUUCAACAAGAGCCAAAGCUACCCGGUCUUGGGAAGAAGAAAAUCGAAUAGAGGAAGAAGUGGUCGUGUAACUGGCUCGCUUGAGCUUUGGUACGCAAAUAGUUUACUAAUAGGAUUGAAAGAUUAUUUUACGGAUAUCCCAGGGGCGUAGCGGGUUCGAAAGGACCAGGAAGCAGAUGUCUAUUCAAUAGAAGAAGUUGUUCGACCUUUCUUUCAUUUAGUUUGAACCACCAGAAACAAAAGGAAAAUCAGGCUAGGAGAUGACUCGUAAUCGAUCCGGCUGUUGGACCCUGGACCCACCCGGCCCGUAUAUUUCAUAAGAUGUGUUUCAUUCGGGAGGAUGAACUAGACUUUUUUCAUCGCCCCACCCAAGGCAGAUCGAACAAAAGAUCUUCCCACUAAUGCUUUCAUUCUCCCGGCUAUGAUACUGGUAAAGAGCCCUCUUCCUUCUCUUCGACACGGACACACUAAGUAGUCAUGGGAAAGAUAAAUGUCAUCUGUGUGAAGGAUAUUGAGAUAGUUUCUUCCUUCUCUAUGCGUGGGUUAGCCCUUGAUCGGAUAAUUAUUCUUAUUUAAAAAUAAAAUAAUAGAGUUCUUUUCACCUUAACAACUAUGUUUUUUCUAACAAAUCGAAUGGUGAUUCCCCCUACUAUCUACAACUCGAGAUGCGACAAGAGUGCUUAUUCCCCAAAAAAAAAGAUUCAUUCCCCUUCUCUUACCGACGAUCGAUAAUUCUUUCUAACAGCUCCAUCUGCCUAUCUAAGAACGACGCCCUUCUUGCAAAAGCUCUUCUUGUUGCUAACACUGUUCCAGGGAUCUUUAAUCCUUUCCUUCUUCCUAGGACAGUAAGAAUAGAAUUACCUGAAUGAUAUCAGUCAGAGCGUAUUCCCUAACAGCCUCUUUUCUUCUCAAGCACUUGCUAUUUCAUCUUCUCUUAGACAGGCUAUCUUCCGAUUCAAUGCCAUCAAAAUGUACCCAGCAGCCUACUUUUCCUUAUUAGUUAAGACAACCCUAGCUAGAUUCUCAAGCUCUGAUAAACCCACAACAAGAACAACCUUUAUUUUAUGCCGUGCCGAAAGGACUAAGAGCUCUUAUUCCGCAAUCUUUAGCACAUAGCAGUCUACGCAGUACUCAUUCCUGGCGGUUCCGCUAAUCUUCCUAUAAAUUCCAUUCCUAAAAACCCGGCAAUCGUAGACUGCUUUGGUUAAUCUAGUCUUGAUAAAUGAAAGGCACCCACUCUUAUUUCACACAGUAAAAGAAAAAGGCCGUCUUCUCAAAAUCCGUACCUGUACCAAAGAGACCAGACCUUGGGAAGGCAUCACAUAUGCUAGAAGGCUUAACAGUCCUCCUUAAUAGUAGCCCAGAUCUGUUUUGUGCUCGGCUUGACGCUAUUUCAGAUGUCCAUUCAAAAAGAGCUAUUGGGGGCAGCGCUACUAAUUCGUAUUCGUCUUUUAAGACAGGAGCUCCUAAGCAAACUUGGAAAACAAGGAGUGGCUCCCGUCCCUAAACAAAGCACCAAUAAGCUUUUGCCUUCCUUUUAACAUAAAAUAUUCGGAGAGAGGAAUCGGCAUAAUAAAGUACGAAAAUUUACUGAAGAAGUGCAGGAAAUAUUCUUAGAAGAGCUUCUUCGAAAUUCCGUUAUCUUUUUUAAGAUAGAUAGCCGAAUCACUAACAAAGGAAUUUUCUUUCGGGAUGUUGACAACGUCAAAACAAAAAGAGAAGUUUUUAGUGAAUCGUCAUUUUCUCACGAUUGGGUGGGUGUGAAGUGUACUGAGGUUAAGGUACAAUACCGAGCUCGAGAUGUUAGAAGGUGCAAAAUCAAUGGGUGUAGGAGCUACUAUUGAAUCCAGUCUUAGAUGGUUGGAAGACAGAAGCAAUAACAUGAUAGGAAUAGCAGGUUUAAUAGAGAUGACAUCACAAUAGGAUGAAGACGAGCUUCAUAUAUGCUUUCACAUGGAAAUGGGAUAAUGUUAAAAUACCUUUGAAAGGCAACUAGUGAGAGGGAUUACUUGCUAACGUAUCCCUAAGAGCAUAUCGUCUAUGUCCAGGAGUUAGUGCAUUGGAUUCAUGGGCAACUGCAUCUAGUAGAGUUGACUUAACACCAAGCAAAUCUCCUUUCUAGUCUAGGACUUAUAGCUUUGGAAAUUUAAUUAGUCCUGCAACUCCCCUAGCUUCACAUGAAUGCACAGAGAAGGCCCUUGCUCAGGUUCUUUGACAUCGACUCGGUUGCUAGGAAGAAUGCGGGCUUAGAGCCAAUAGAGCUAGUGUUCCUUCAUCACCCUCUAGCGUACCGAACAUGUGAAAAGCAUCAUUUAAGAUGCACGGACAAAAGUAGCUGCUUAGGUUGCAUAUAUAAGAAUAGGAAUCGAAUCCACAACUAUUGAUAUUGAAUCCGCUGUUCUCACCUUAAAAGCUGGGUAAGCCAAGGGGGGGACUUUGAACUGUUAAGAGGUGCCUAGCGCUUUCAUCAAUAUGAAAGAGGAAGCUUCUGGGCUGUACCUGCAUAACUAGGGAUUGGAGGAAGUUGAGGGUAAGCCAAGGGGGACAUUGAACUGUUAAGAGGUGCCUAGCACUUUCAUCAAUAUGAAAGAGGAAGCUUUUGGGCUGUACCUGUACAACUAGGCAUUGGGGGACGUUGAAUAUUAAACUAAACGAAGAUGACGCUGUCCAAUUGGCCAAAAGGAAGAUCGACAUGAGAAGCCGAUGUUCUUGCUACAGAAUCCCAUGCAGAUUUCUUAACUGUUUUGUUAGGCAUUGGCAUGAGCAAGAAAGCAGACAAGAGGAAAUCAAAAGAACGGGGAUUCGAAUCGCCUAAUUUUCCCCCUUCUUGUUUGCAAGAAAAAAAAGUAACUGAACUAAAUAGUAAACAGGAGGCAUAGUAGAAGAAAUAGAAAGAUGCCCAUCCCAUUGUAUUUGGAUUUGGAAAGAAAGAAGAAGAUAUGCUCUUUAUUCUUUUAUAGAAUCUUUUCUUGAAGUUAAGUUAAUGCGAAAAUGGAAAAUUGCGUAUAGUAUAUAAGAUAGGUAUCCGCUCGGGCAUUUUAGGAAGAAAACUAUUUGUAAGAUCCGGUGUUAGUGAGAGAGUUGGGAUGGAGCUUUCACUAAUACUAAUAGAAGAAUUUUUAGUAAAGGCAGGAAAGAGCUAGGUCUUAUAUAGAAGAAAGGGUUUUUUUGCUUUUCGACAGGAGAUGAUACAUAAGCGCUCUUGGUCUUCUAUCUGCAUACGCUGCUCUUAGCCUUGUUAGAAUCCAAUGUUAGAAGGAAGAAUUCAAUAGGCAUCCCAAUAUCCGUUUUCUUAGAUAGAUAAGAGAUCAGCUAAAGUAAUGGUCAUACCCCUCCUCCCCCUCCGUUUGAGGAAGAUAUCUCAGGUAUUCGCCUACGAGGUCUUCACAUAAUAGAUUGAAAAAAUCCUUAUUAGGAAGAAAACUUGGACAAAUCCCCGGUCUUAUAGAAGUAGCUACCAAGUCUAGACACCUGAUGCAUGUGAGGGAAAGGGAAGGAAGUCUCUUUGGCACGUAUGAGUAGCUGUCACGAAUCGAAGUUUCAAAAGUCAAAAGAGAGAUUUUUCAUCAAGAAAAAGGUUGGUUGAGGCACGGGAUGAUAGGGUGGGUGGCCGACUUUCAGUACUUUCUGCCAACUCGAUUUCAAUACUAAGUAAUCUCCUCAUCGCAUAAGUAAGAAAGUUCACCUACGGAGGGUAAAGAGAGGGGCGGACGAGAGUUCUAAUAAUUCUCUUUCAUCCAUACAAGUCUGCGAGCGUCCCAUCUUUUUCUUACUUGAAUGAAGAAAGACAGAACCCCUCUUUUCAGCCACAUCUUCAAGUUCGCUUUCCACUUCCGAAUACCAAAGAGCGAUUAAGAGAAGAGCAGUACGUAGGACUUAAAAAGAGGGUUCCUUCCUCUCUUCACUCUCCGAAUUACGAUCCUCACCUUUUUGGUGCCAAAGGCCUACCUUUCCACUUUACAGGAAGUUCUAAAGGAAGAGAAAUGAAAGUCACCUUUCCUGCCAACCUCCUGGCUUUAUUCUUAUACUGAUCAAGCUGCACUAUUUUCUAUUCUAAUAGAUUCCACUUCGCUUGCUUGCACGACUUCCUCUUUGCUUAAAAAAAAGGGGGCAAGUCAAGUAAGUAAGCAGUGAUCUGAACCAAAGCACAAGCUUUGAAAUAGAAAGAAAGAUAGAAGGAAAGCAAGAAAGAACUAUCUGACUUCGCUAUCUUUCUAUGAGCUCCUAGGAAAGAGAUCCUACUCCCAAAGAAAGGAAGCUUAUGAAUAGUCAUUAAGAGAGGUGACGAUGACCCUCUUUUGCUUUUUCAAGCUAUGAAUGUAGAGAUCAGGUUGAAGAAUGAAAGGGAUGAAGUUGCAUAAAGAUUCUUGAACCUAGAACUCGGGAGGUUGUGCUCGACCGAAAGGGUAAGGGCAAGAAUAAAUUGAUGGACGUAGUUCAGGAUCGAUGUAAUUGCGACAACUAAGUAGAGGAUGAGAAGAUGUGAGACCGCCCAAAGGUGGUUCUAUAUAGCUCUUAUGCUUUUACGACUCGUACUAUUUUAUUAUAAACUUUGUGAAAUCGUUCUUUACUCGCUACAAAUAUUUUGCUCUAGCUCUCUAGUUCUCUUAGCUAUCGUUACAUUUUAUUACUUGUGGAAAGUGGAAAGGCAGAAGCGUCGGCUAGUCAGUCACGAACUACUUGACUUCCUUAUGAUGAUUCAGUGUUAAUGACCUCAUUCAAUCUUUUUUUUGAGACUUCGCUAUGGUGGGCUAGAUGGAUAGCUGACAAUAGAUAGGAAAAGAUGUAGAGGUGUGUGCCACACUCACGAGGGUUCUGAGAAAUUGACGAAGGAGCGAGUUAAAUGAGAGGCUAGAGUUAGAGGCGAGACAAUGAGCUUCUCAGUUAAUGAAGAGCUUCCCUUGAUGUUAGCAGAACUAUCUAUUUGAAUUAUUAAGAAAGCGGCCCUCCAUUCCUUCUUUGAGGAGUAGAUUGAAGGGCUCAUCGCUUCUCCUACUGCUGCUACCAGCCCCGUCCCACAACCGACCGAUCUGCUGCCUAAACUUUAGAAAGAUCAUUUUUCUUCAACAUUUCUUUUUUUUUUUCUAGAAGUAGGGAAAGUAAGACAAGAGUGAAUGAAGUCCCCCACGGAGCGGUAAGGAGAUCGAUGACUUUUUAAUCUUCCUCUUUAUGCAUGAGAUUACAGACAUAUAGUGAAUGGACGAGUCCCUUCAACUUCGAAGAAGCUUUCUCUGUACUUCCCUUCGUAGGGGAGGUAGGAAAUAGAAAGAGAUUAGAUAACAAUAGAGCAAAUUCAGAUCCAACCAGCAAGGCAUACGGUCUUGGACACUUAACCAAGCUCUUGAGCGGUGUCCACCAUCACCUUAUUUUGCUCUCCUUAGCUUCCUUCUUGGGCGUGGUGAAGCGAGGGGUCAGUGAAAUCGACUCCGAUCAGUGCAGUUAGAUAGUUAGAGUUAGUAGUUUCUUCAACAUUUCUAAAACGAAAUGUUUCUCUAAGAGUUAGGGAGCGAGUGGAAUAAAUAAGUUUAAUACGCUGGAUAAGAAGCGUAGUAUACGAAGCGAUCACUAGAGCGAAGGAGUGUAAUAGGCAGAAAGGAUUACGGGAGCUUUGAGAACGAGUGGAAUACCUGAAACAAGAGAGGGUAGGUAGAGAACUUUCGCCUUUUAAGCUUUGCUUUCUCGAUACACUACUAUCUUACUAAAAAAAAAAGAACUUCUGAGUUAAGAGAAAGAAAAUAGACACACCCUUACACAGCCUUAUUUAAUAAUAAUAUAAAAGGCCUUCUUCUUUUUCUUUAUUUAUUUUAUUUUAUCAUAUUUUGCCAUCUAUAUCUUAUAUAGACUUUUAGCGUAUAAUAAUUACCAAUACGAGGACUAUCGACAAUGCUUUCAACUUAUAAUAGAAGGGUCUCCUCUUCCUUCAUUUCGUAAGCUUGCUAGCUUACCGGCUGAACCAUCAUCAUCUGCUUGCUUGGUCACUUUCGUGAUAAGGCGCUUAAAAGGAUUCUGGAUUCUAUAUAUUUUGGGAACUAAAAGAGUGGCUGGUUGAUACUUUUGUGAUAAGGAGCUUAAAAGGAUUUUGGAUUCAAUAUAUUUUGGGAACUAAAAGAGUGGCUGGUUGAAGGGAAGCCAGAAAAUCCAGGGAAUCGAUGUCCCCCAAACCAAUAGACUUCCAGAGAAGAGGAGUCUUGUCGCCAUUAAAACCCUUCUCGGAAACCGAGGAAAUAUCCUACACAAUUCCGAUACUGGGUAGGAUUCACCAGCCACUAGACAUAGCACAUAUGCCAACAGUAGUAUGAAUGGGACAGGAACUAUUCGACCUCUUUCAGGAAAGGGCCUUACAUACGGGGAAACUGGGUGAUCCCGGUGACAGAAGUAAAGAAAGCUUUCGCCUACGAGCAUAUGUACGAAGAAAGGAGUCUCGUACAAAGGGUUGGAAAGAAGGCUUUUACCUUAUUUCAGGUGGGUUAGUGCGUAUCUGUUCGGGCGGAGGCGGACAAUGAAAAGACAGAAAGGAGCGAAUGAUGCCAACCAACUCGACAAAGACAUUCAGAUAUGAAAAAGAUAAAGAAAGACGUGUUAAGCUUGUGUUUUCCCAGCCGACUCGCACACGACCGUCUUUUUUUCGAUUGAAGAGUCGGACUCCCUGACAUUGCCUUUGCAUCGCAAGGAGGAAGAAGGGUCUAUGCCGAAAGAUAAAAGGGUGCUGCAUGUAUAAGUCCAAAAGAGCUAUGAUGACUCUCGAAAUGGAAUUGGAAGAGCAAGACGGGCUAGGGCUGGCACAUUAACAGGAUAUUCAAUUUGUGAUAACGAUGGCGGAUAAACCAGAUAAUAAUCUUACUUGUCCCCAACGCAAAAGUACUGGGAAUUUUCGGGGACUAGCCCACUUCCACUCUUUUAUUUUUAUUUUUUUGAAAAACAAGGAGGAUUAAGAAGGCCAUCAUUAAGGAAAAAAGUCAAUAUCUUUGGUUAAAGCAAAUCCCAAAAUAGCAUAACUUAAUAAUUGUUUUGCCAAUGAAUGAUUUCUCGCAAAAGAAUUAAGCAACUGAAAACAUUUCUGAUACCGGAAGCAGCUCCCGCUGAAGCAAUUGUAGCAGCUCCUGCGUCGAUUAAUUUUGAACCUUAUAAUCUUACAUAAUAUUAAAGAACGUUUAAAGAAAGUUAACUCUUUAUUUGUUUGUCUCGCCCUUCUUUCUUUUCUUCGAUUUUAGAUGGUAAAAAGGAGAAUGGAAUUUCCGAUCUUGUAUCCAAAGUGCGGUACACUGAACAACAACCCAAACUCCCUACCCUCAUAAAAAAAGUUACCCCCUUUGGUUGAUUAGUUAGUUUUCAAGAUGGGGAAGUUCUUCUGGAAAUCUUAGGCAUAACUAAUCGAUUAUUUGUCCUGAUCGAAACAACCUAGGAAAGGUUGUCAGCCUACAUAAACAACUUCUCAUACCAAGGGAAGAAGGUAUCAGAUCCCUGUAGUUCGAGCCCUUUUGUUUUCCCAUUUCCUUUACGUGGAAUGAUUUCCAAUGAGUAAAGUAGUCUGGGGGAAAGAUAAGUCCUACCCACUAUCCUUUACCCAAAAAAAGGGGUCCAGAAAAGUGUGGCUGAUUUGUUCUUUUACCAUGUCAGCCACACUCUCAUUUAGUCGAUCUUGAUAGUCCGAAUACGAGAAGUGUCUUAAUCUAGACACUCUCCAAGUUGAUAGGAUCCAAAUGAAAAAAGGAAAUACAAUGGUAGGAUUUGCCAUCUUUCUUAUUAAAUAAUUAAAAACCAAUUGAUCGGGAAAGGUGUUGUUCAUGGUGGUAAGCGAGGGGGGGAUUUAGUAAAGGGAUAAUGCCGCUUUUUACUAAAAAAGUCCCGAGUUGGUAAUUAGAGUUAGAAGCUUCACAGCUUCCUCCACUCACCUCCACGGGCGAAUAUAGUCUACUAGACUCUUUCUUGGCUACUCUAGUAGACUAUUUUCUAGGUCAUUCGGAAAGGCUCCGUAUAGUUUUGGGAUGUAACGUUGUGGUUGUUCCGUCUCCUUUCAGUAGAGUAACUUCGUACCUAUCCUUACCGAGAAAAUUGAGUUCCAGAGGCAUCUUCCAUUCAUAUCAAUUUAGGUUUUUCCGCACCAUAUUUUGAUCAGCCUCUUCUUCGAUCCGGAAUUCCCAGCAAAUCCUUGACUCCUCGAAUACAAUGGAAUUUCAAACCUGGCGAAUCUUUCACUCUACCUACUGUUAUUAAGACCAUAGAAUGUUCCUGCAAAUUAUGACCUUCUCCUGGAAUGUGAGCAAAUAUAUCAUGUGGAUUGCUCAAUCGUACUUUUGCUAUCUUACAUGGAGCUGAAUUAUGUUUUUUGGUGUUCUCGUUGAAACACGCGGGCAUACUCCUUGCUUUUGGGUACAUUGAUCCAUAGCUCGAGUACGGUCUGUGCGCCGUUUUUCUUCUCUACCAUGACGAAUCAAUUGAUUUAAUGAAGGCAUCGCUCUUUCCUUUGUCCUUCCCCCCAAUUUUUUCCCUCUCAAAAGUGGUUACUCCCGAUCCGAAGCACCCCUUUUCCAUUCAUAGAGAGAUCCAUUUGUCAAAAUCAAUAAAAAGGCCAUCAUGGACCAAGAUCCAAACGGAUCAAUCUUGUUAGGAGGUACUGCCCAAGGAAAGGAAAAGGUUACUUCCCGAUAAGAAAUAAUAAAUAAACUGGACACAAGACAAAAUCUUAUAUCAAAAUGACUUUAGGCAUCACCGGAAGGAUCGAAACCACAUUCGUAGGCCGACAAUUUUUCUGGAUAGGUCAAACUAUUGGAAGAAAAUAGAAAAGGAAGACCGAGUGGGAGCAAAGAAACUAGCGGACUGAUCACUAAAUAGAUAAAAAUAGGUCCAAAUUCUGACAUCACCACAGAAAACUUGGUUCUUUCGCUCCUUGCUAGCGGAGCAGCAUACCGGAAGAAAUUGGAAGAUCAAUGAUGGAAUGAAGAACGCAAUUUUACAACAGCAACACAACAAAAAAGCAGAAGAAAUUGGAAGAUCGACGACGGAACGAAGAACGCAUAACCGCCAUAUUCUCAAUCAGCUUACAGAAUUAAAAGUUUUUUCUCUUAGAGAGGCAUUUUCCUCGCUUAGAAAAGCGUUCCUUCUCUAAAGAGAUUUCCUUAACUCUCGUAACUCUAGGCGAUGUUGCAUUUCCAAUCGCGCUUGGCGCUUUAAGUUUAUAAAGCCACGAAAAUGAUGCGCUUGAGUUCCUUUUAGAUCUUGAUAAAAAGGGGAAUCAUGCCUCUCGACACAUAGAAUUUGUAAGACCUAGGCGAUGUUGCAUUUCCAAUCGCGCUUGGCGCUUUAAGUUUAUAAAGCCACGAAAAUGAUGCGCUUGAGUUCCUUUUAGAUCUUGAUAAAAAGGGGAAUCAUGCCACUCGACACAUAGAAUUUGUAAGACUCUGCGUAGAGUAGGGUGAUUGAAUUCUAAGGGUUCAAGGUGCACCCUCAGUAUGGAAUCCAGGUCUUGUGGAUCAAUGAAGAAUUGUGGAUCCUCCCGACCAUAAAAAAGGAGUUGAUAGAGGGAGGAAAUCUGCUCUCGAGUCGCAAAACACAAUUCCGUAUUGAGGAAGUCCCGCACCAUAACCUCGUACUCCUUGGGUGAGAGUCCCUGGGUUAGAGUUGAUAGAGGGAGGAAAUUUUCUCUCGAGACACAAAACACAAUUCCAUAUUGAGGAAGUCCAGUACCAUGACUUUGUACUCCCUGGGUGAGAGUCCCUGGGUUUGUAGGCGCUAUCGUACGAAUUCCACAAAUUCUGGAUCCUUAUCCGGUAGAUUCAUAUAGUGGUAUAGUAGCUGCAGCUCGGAUGGGAGAAUACCUAAUCGGGAAUGAAGUAAAAUAGCAUCAAACAAGUUAGUAUAGAUCCUAUAUCCAAAAGUAACCAAGCAAUAAAGACAUAUGAACCAUUUCAGAAUAGAAAGAGCCCGCUGUAACUUGGGCCUUGUUAUAUAGUAGAAAAAUAGUUUCACUUCUAAAUCCAAAGGGAGAUAGAACCUCAUAAGAAUGAGGAAAAGGCAUAACCAGAAGAAAUAAGUGAAUUUAUCCAGUUGAGGCAUUCUUGAUUGAUUUUUUCACUUCUAAUUCCAAAGGGAGAUAGAACCUAAUAAGAAUGAGGAAAAGGCAUGACCAGAAGAAUUGUCUGAAAUAAAUGAAUUUAUCCAGUUGAGGCAUUAUUGGUUGAUUGAGACAAAACGAUUCCCUCAAUACAGCUUAACUCCGUCAAGCCUGUACGAGUAGUGAAGAAGUAAGAGCACUUUGGUUUGUUGUUGACCAACGGAAAGCAUGGGAGAAAACAAGACGCACAAACAAAAAAGGGCUAAAAAAGGACGAAGUCAUUUCAUAUAUAAAAAGAGCAGUACACUGCACAAACAAAAGAGGAAGCUAGUCGAUCAUUCAACGGCAAGAAUCUACCCUAGGAUCCAACCUGCCAGCUUUCUUCUCUUAUGAUAUUUCGAAUAGUGAGAAAGUGAAAUAAUUGGGAAUAUAAUGGAGCGGACUAAUACUCUAUUCGACUAGAGGAAGAAUCUUUAUUAAACAGGAUGCCUCCCAAGUGACAUGGGGCUAACCGUCAUAUUCUCAAUCAGCUUUGCCUUGCUACGUACUUUCGUUUAGUAUUCCUUACAGCCAUUCUCCAAUCAUCCGAAAGCAGCAGCGAGGCGGACAUUGAUUUUGCAGAAAGGCUUGCUGCUUUGCAGGGUCGCUUGCCUAGUUCAUCGGUACUACGCUAUGAGAGGCUCAACAUCGGGUCCAAUGUAAAGAAAGCCUUGCGAAUGAUGGUGGCUCCAUACGGGUAGACAUAGGCCCUGAAACCUUAACAAAGACAAGACAAUUACAGGGAGGGCGUACGUGUUCUCGGGCGAGUGCAGACUCGGUUAGUAUACAAGAUCAUCAAUAUAGUAAUAGGAUGCAUCUGCUGAAAGCAAGACUCAAGUAACAACAAGCUUGACUGAAGCUCAGCCAUAGUUGGUUUUGGUCGUUGAAGCUUCGCCGUAGUGACAAAGAUUUCACAGUCCGAAGGCAGGCCGGCAAGAAGGAAUGUAAACAUAUCAGAUUGGGACACCGGUUCAUUGAUAGAUGCCAAGGAGUCACAAUUGUUCUUGAAUGUAUGAAGGUAUGCCGCCAUAAACUGAUUUCCUUUCUUCUCUCUUUCACUAUCAUGUUCCUCACUAACCCGAAAAGCUUUCUUUAAACCAUACUUUGGGGAGGGGAUCUUUGAACCUUGUUUGAGCUCCUCUUCCCCUUUCUAGACAAGAAAUGAGAAGGGGAAGGGGAACUCAUUUCUUUUCGUUUUCACUUACAUACGCGAAUCUAUGUCUAGCCUCGCUUGCAUUCAGUUAUCAAGGGGGAUGUCUACUCUUUCGUUUACAUACGCAAGCUCCAGAUUAGUCGCAAUCGCACUUAUGUGCAAUAUCCAACGCAUAUCAAAGCACUUAGAGGCCAAGCAUUAACAGAGUAACCUACAGAUUGGUGCCCGAUGACACAGUAAAGGUUGAACAGUCAACAACUUUUAGUGCGCCAGUCUUAAGUUCCUAUCAACCACUUUCCCAACAAGGCAGCCGCCAUGGUAUUGCGAUAUUGUAUUCACAACGACAGAUCUAUCCCAUUAGAAAAUCAUUGGAUUGAUCAGCAGGCAAGGAAGGUCAAACAUACCCGAAAUAUAUAAGACCAAACUCUUGUUAGUACUUGAAUUCCUACAUGUAGCGGCUUUGUUGUAAAUCAUGAAUCUUUCUGUUCACACACCUCUACACAUCCAUCACAAGGAUUUCGGAAGUAAUGAAACCUUACUAUUGGGUUAACGUUAACAUCAGUUAAUGCUAGUCUGAGAGAUCCAGCAGAUAGGGGGCCAACAAUCUUUUCCAUCAGGGUUGCCACAGUAAAAUAUACUAGAGAGGUGGAACUCUUAAAAAAAGCACCAAAAGACGAGGCUUUUCUCCCAAACAUAUCCUUUUUCACGAGUGGCUAUCGCGCCUAACCUUUGAAAUUGAGCUGCUUCUCUCUCUUGUUCCUUAUCUGGUUCCGGCCAGUGGCUUGGAAGCAAGCUACCCGCGCUAUAUAGAGGGAGAAGAGCAGCAGGAUUGAAGAAGCUGGUUCAAAGCUAAGGUAUCAAUCGGCUUUCUUUCCGUCUUCUUUUCUGCCAGGGGUAGAUGCCUUAGAUUAAGAAAGGGUUGGUAGGCCCUUAGUCCAUUCCCGAUGAUCCUCUCCUGGUCAAUUGCUUGGAUAUGCCUUAUAUUAAGAAAGGGUUGGUAGGCCCUUAGUCCAUUCCCGAUGAUCCUCUUCUGGUCAAUUGCUUGGGGUUUCGGACCAUUGCUCUCUUUUUUAGUCGUAUCAGGUGCAUCGGCUUUGCUUUGAAAUUGUCUUGUCCGUAUAGUCAGUAAUCGAUGUAGGAAAGAUUCUUAUAUGAUAAGUGGUCCAUUCCACCUUAAGAAGUAGCCCAUUCUACUAGGUUUCCUAUAGAGCGAGGGCCUCUUCUUCCUGCCUUUUCUGUAAGAGAAUUUCUUUCUUACCUGAGUAUGGGUCUACCUGCCUUAUUCUUAGAUGCCUUACCCUUCCUUAUCCUAAGUCUUGGUAUGCUUAGAUUCCGGUUCCCCAGCCGACUGUUGAAUCUCUUUUUGCCUUGGUGUGCAAGACAAUAUCGGCAUUGCUUUGACUUGCCUUGUCCGUAUAGUCAGUAAUCGAUGUAUGAAAGAUUCUUCUAUGAUAAGUGGUCCAUUCCACCUUAAGUAGUAGCCCAUUCUAUUAGGUUUCCUGUACAGCGAGGGCCUCUUCUUCCUGCCUUUUCUGUAAGAGACUUUCUUUCUUGCCUGAGUGUGGGUCUACCUGGCUUAUUCUUAGAUGCCUUACCCUUCCUUAUCUUGAGUCUUUGUAUGCUUAGAUUUCGGUUCCCCAGUCGACUGUUGAAUCUCUUUUUGCCUUGGUGUGCGAGACAACGGAGGGGCAGCUUAGCCUUCUUCUCUCUUGCGGAUCUAUUACAACUAGCAAUUUUAAUAAACAUUAUUAUAGAAAUUGGGGCUAAUUAAAUAGAAACCGGUCGUACCUAGCCUCGAUUCAUGUCGCAAACAUUGUCCAAUGAUUCAUGAAAACAUGAAAAGAGCAGAGUUGGCGCAUCUGAUCUUUCUUCUUCAGUGCCAGGCACAAAGAGCUAGCACUAAGAGCAGGGGAUGAAUCUUUAUCGACUUCCUUUUGAAUAACUUGGAUAACAUCUUUAUGGACAUCUGAGAGAGGUUCUUUCUACUAGUGCUCCUCCUCCUGCUAAUGCUAGUGCAACUUUGAAAGUAGUUCUUUCUACUAGUGCUCGACUUCCUGCUAAUGCUAGUGCAACUUUGAAAGUUGUUUAACCAAAGAUCUGAUACCUCUUUUAUUAUUAAUUUAUAAUUAGCAUUCUCUGAUCGGCCUAAUCUCGUAAUACAAGGCUAUGUCCCUGACCUGAGACUAAUGCAAUUAGUUCCUUCAUCUGCCUUCUCUUUCGACGUUCGCCAAUCGGAGAGGACAGUCGAUUGAGUCUGAACCUUAAUUUAAAGAUGGAAGGAAGACCCGGAUGGACUUAAUUAGGAGCAUAGGCAACCCCUUCGCGCGCGAGAUAGCAAUGACAAUAGAUACUGGUUGGGGUUGAGUGAUCCUCAGGGUUUAGGGCUCCUUCUCCUACUGCGACUACCUCUCUUCUCUUCUCUGUUAGAAAGGUAAAGGACCACCAUAGAGGCAAUUGCUUUCAUGAAUGCGGUAAACAAAUCAAUCAUUUCGUUACAUAUCGGGGACAGGGUUUAGGGUUCCUUCUCCUGUUGCUCUACCUCUCUAUUUUUUUAAAGCCCUGCUCACUUAUAGCCCUAUAACCAAGCAGGCAGGCGAGACAUCAGAGCAGCUCUAGAAUGGAGAUUGUAAUUCCAUUUAUUUAAAUUAAAAGGGGUGGAAUGUGAAACCAGCAAUCCCAUAUUGUGAAAUAAGAGCAGUGGCAUUUGCGGAAAUAGGUUUUGAGGAAGGGACUGAUUGAAAUAAAGAACUGAACUAAUCGACGAGGAGGAAUAAUAAGUAAAUCUUGGUCGGAAUCGAAAGCGGGGAAACUGACCACAUGAUUGGCAAUGGGCAUAAACCCUAAAACAAGAUUCACUGGUUCUUCAAUCCUCACGUAGACAUGAAGGGGAGUCCCCACAGAUAGGAUUCAGAUUUCUAAACAAAACAACAUUAUUUGUCGGCCUAUACGCUGACUCUGAAUCAAAGAUUUACUCAUUGCCAACAAAACAUACUCUAUUUACUAGUUUAAGUCGAUUCACUAAGCUAGUUAAAAUCCUUAUUACUUACGCAAUUCCACCAGUUUGUAAUACAUCCAACAUUCUCAAUAUUAAACGCUUUUGGCAUGCCAGAGCAAGACUUCUAUGUGGGAACCCCCCGGUAGAGGAGACCUAUCUAGUCAUAGGCUUCUAAUAAGAAAUUAGCUCAUUCAUUACUUGUGCAAUGACUUCCUUUUUCAUAGCGUCAAUGUACCUUUAUAUCUCCCUCGUCAAGUCGAGAUUCCCUAAGAGAAAGGGAUCAAAUCCGUAAUUGUAGUUUCUAUACGCCAAUCAAAUCUCGCUUCCAGUCAUCAUCAAUUCUGAGGAAAGAUUCUUGAAUAACAGGCUAAGAAUAGUCUUAUAAGUCCUUGUCUGUUAUGUAUGCUCCAGUAAGAAAGUCCCUUACUUCGGCUAGUAAGGAUUUUCAUUUUAGGUAAGCAAGCUGCAGCGCGAGUACCCUUUUUUUGACUUUUGCUGCAAUAGAGGAGAUUUCCAUUGGACUAGUUAAAAGACUUAGAUAACACGCCGGGUUUACAUACGAAAAAGUUCACGUAGAGAAAAGAGAUUAGACUAGUCAUUGCACUAGUACCGUCUACGAGCCUCCCGCUUUGGUACCAUCUCAUUUUUUACCAGCCGAGCCGCCCUGUCAACCCUUUACGGCGCUUGCUUCCUAGCUAGAACUCACACAGCGCAAACAUAAAUGAGAACUAAGCAUAGUCUGACUCCCUAGCGCACAGAGCAAGAGUAAGCUACUUCACUCGAGAAGAAGAAAUAGGCUAAUGAUCGGCUCAGAUAAGGAUGCCUCCUAUCUUUCCAAGCUAGCUCCGAUGCAACUGCUAUGGAAUUAGCUCUUGGGGAUAUUAUAGGUUAGAAGGAAGCCAAUGCUGGAGGAAGUGAAUAAAUCAUAAGAAGUUGUUCAAAAGGGUCUGUUGCUUGCCCGAGUAGGGGAAGGGAUUGACCUAAGGCACGGUUUACUUAUCCCACUCUAGUGCUGGUAGGAAGCAUCCUUUCGAGAGUCUGAACCUUAAUUUAAAGAUGGAAGGAAGACCCGGAUGGACUUAAUUAGGAGCAUAGGCUCUAGUGCUGGUAGGAAGCAUCCUUUCGAGUAGCCUCAUAGGUCAGACCGGUUCCAACCAUUCUUGCUAAGGCUCCUAGUGAAAGAUCAAACUUAAGAGUAAGAAAAAUUUCUUGUCUUACACUUAGAUAGCAGUUGCAAGAUUAAAGACCAGCAGUGAGGGGAAGACUUUUGUAGAGAAGUUUAGAAAGGUUGACUUCUUUUUUGAGAAUUCUUUAUAGAAAGAAGAGAGGGAGGAGAUCAAAACGAAAUACUUGUUUCGAACGAGCCCCUAUCUCAAUUACACGUAAUGAGCUAUUACCCUAUGACUAUGGUUUUCAUUCAUUACACGAUAGGUUGAGAGCAAGAUUGAAAUGCCAUAUCGAGGGAGUCUCCAGCUCUACAUCUAUCUACUAUUAAGAAAGGAAGGGGAUUUGAGUUACCCAGCUCAGUAACAAACAAGGUUCGGAGAACAACCUAGAAAGAACCCCUGUUGAUUCGCCAAAGAUCUACAAGCUAGGAUUCUAGAGAAAGAGAUGCUAUUAAGGAUACUUUAAAAGAACCUUAGGACUUAUCUUGAGUUGGGCAUCCUUGACUCCAUUCCUGACUAGAGAAGGGAAUGCGGUGAAUCACCAGUUUGGAUUGAAGAAUAGGCACCCAUGAAUUAGUAGCAUAUUUUCGGGAUCUAUCGAGUGGAAAACCGGGCGAAGAGCUACCAAACACGAUCACCAAUAAGAGAGUAGCAAGUGCUGGCUUGGGUCUCAGAGCUCCUUAAGCUUGGGUUCGCUUCGUGCUUGCGUUCGACCUUGGCUUUAGGGUUGGCUCCUAGGCCCAGCAAACAAUAAACUACCACACCAGAUCUCCUACGGAUAAUACCCUAAAAGAAAGAGAGGUGAUUCGUCGAUACCAAGGUUGAGGCUCCUUUACAUGCUCAAGAGAAGAACAAGAGGAAUCUUAGCUUCAUAACAUAGGAACAAGAGCUACAAGAGCGGGAUACUAAACCAUUCGAGAAUAAGCAAGUGGAUCCUCGCUCUUGACACCCUCCACCUUAGGAAUAGCUCCUUGCGAACACCUCAGUACAGAUCACCAAACAAGAGAUACUAGCAUUGGUAUCAGAAAAAACAACAUUGAUUGGUUGAAGCACGCUUCGAUUAGCUUCUAGCUCGGUAACAAGAAAGAGAUUGGCAUUCAAGAAAAAAUCAAAUGACGAAGGAAAUACCGUUGAUUUGUCGAGAAUCCAUACCCAGGACUGGUAGACAAGAAGCUAGCAAUCGGAGAACAAAUCAAAUGACGAAGGAAAUACCGUUGAUUCGUCAAGAAUCUACAUCCAGGACUGGUAGACAAGAAUCUAGCAACUAGUGAUACUGGCGAUAGGCCUCAGAGAUACAAUCGAUGAAUCACCGGAACGAAAUACUGGUGAUACGCCGAGAGAUACUGGGAAUUCUACGAAGAAGUGCACCUGGACUAUAGAGAUCCUCACCCACUAAAAAUAGAAAAGGCCGGGGAGGAUCGAUACACUUCGUUGUCCAUCCCAUGGACAACUCCUUCCUCUUGCUUAUUCUUUCAUUUGAGUGCUGCUUGAGUGAAGAAGACGGUUGACUACUUUCAACCAGACAAAAUCAUCUAAUUGACCAUGCCUCCUUAGGCAAUGCAGAUUUAGCAAAAACCAGUACCAAGAUUGACUAAUUAAAGAAUCUUUGUAUUCCUAGAUGCCUGGCAAGACGGGAGAAACACCUAAAAGGCGAAAGAAGCCCUUUGAUCAAAUGAAAGUCCCCAGCCCUAGUUUAGAUAUUCUAUUCGUCAACGGGGUCAUGCUCUUUGAGUAAGAUAGCGUUGAACGUCAAUCCCCUUCUUGGAUUCAGAGAGGUCUGCAACCCUCUGCUUCGGCUUUGGUUGGCGGGCUUUCGUCAUCCAUAUCCAUCACUGUCAGGGGUUAGCGCGUCCGUGCAGACUAGACUCCUUUAAAUGAAAAAAAGUCUCCUUGUAGGCAAAUACCCCCUUUGCAUCAACGUAUUUUUAGCAUUAAUGAAGGGUGGAAGAUACCACGCUGUGGAUCCAAGCACAAAAAGUUUAGGAGGUUUCACCGUCAAUCACGUAAGAUAAGAAGUGAGCUCAGUCAUUAGAUCCUAUGUGUGCCACACAGACGAAUUUUGCCGAUGACUCUUCACAAGUAGGCGCGACGUCGAUUUGAAAAGCAAGCAAGAUGCUUAUUAUCUUAUCUUUAUCUACUUAAAGACUCUGCUUGUACGAGUCUUAAGUGAUUCCAGGGCUGGGAUAAAGCAAGCAAGAUGCUUAUUAUCUUAUCUUUAUCUACUUAAAGACUCUGCUUGUAAGAGUCUUAAGUAAUUCCAGGGCUGGGAUCACGAAUGGAGUUCAGUCACCUUCCACCCCUAACUAGAAAGAGUUCCCUUUCAGCCAGGAUAGAUAGACGAGUUUCAAGGAGAGAGUUAUCUCGUGCCACUAGGUAUUCUCUACCUAGCCACCUAUCUCGCUUUUGGGUAGAGGUAGGCUCUUGCUAGAUGCAAGAUGCUUAAAGCCUUUCGAGCUGCUGCCGCUCAUUCUUUCGUUGUUGCUAGCUUGCGGUCACUCAUCUCUUUGUUGCUAGACGCGGCUUUUUCUUUCGCUCAUGUCGCUUGCCUGUCACUCUGAUUCUUUAUUAGUUGCCAGUCGGUCGCUAGUCCGCCUCACUCUUGAUUGGUUUGAUGGCUUCUUUAGCAGCGUAAGCAGAAGACUGUUGAAAAUUGACGAAGGCUAGACAAUGUAUAGCACUCUGUUAGCGAAUCCCCCUACAACGAAUGAGAAUGAACAAACUCGGUGUAGCGCAAAAGGAGAGAAGAAUAAGCAAAUGGAUCAGAGCAAUUAGCGAGACUUAGAGUGAUUGCAAGCUAUGCUCACUCGGCAAGUGCAGAAUCAAAGUGAAUCAAGCGAGAGGGAAGCUAGUGAGAGAGAAUCCAAGUGAGCUAGAAAGAAUAAGGACAAUACUGACAAUCAAGGCGAUAAAGAGGGCACUCAGUCUUCAGUCAAGCGACUCUACCACCCAGCAAGUAACUGAAUUCACUAAUCAGAGACUCAGACAGACGACUCUACCGCCCAGCAAGAAACUGAACUUGCUAAUCAGAGACUGAGACGGAAACGAGCUUAGUCGUGCCAUAUGGAAAAGAGAAAGGAAGAAGGAGACUAGAAAAAAUAAAAAUGAGAGGACUUCAUGACUAGCUAGAAUGAGCAAGCAUAGAGCAACUCGACAGCGACAGGCGAGCAGUAUAAGCCCUUCUCUUGCCUGGGGUGGGGCAGGGACAUUCCUCUCUGUUAGGUGGGAAGGAGCGAUUCACGACAAGGACGGAAUAAAGAAAAUUAGACUAGUCGUACGAAGGCGGAAAUGAGGGGAAGGUCACCCGAGAGGUUCAGUUGCUUGACUUCAUUGAAGGGGCUUUGGCUAUUCAUUCCCCUUUUCGUUUUGAAAGAAGUAGGCCUAACCUAACUAUGACUAAGGUAAGGAGCUAUUCAUAGGGGUCGAUUCCUGGUUCACCACUCAUUCCGGAGCCCGAGAAAGCACCUCGUUUUAGGUUAGCUGUACUUACUUGUCGCGUACCAGCACAUUUUCGUAGACGGAUUUGAGGGCAUUCAGCUAGCCUAUAUCUCCAUCUCCGCUCUUCUUGCUCCACCAAUAAGCUCCCUUAGCAAUACUAGCCCCUGUGUUAGCAUCUUAGGAAGCCGUGAUAUGAUAAACAUAAGCAUCUCCGUCCAUGUGAGGCCGGCGAUAUGGAUGAUGUAUACCCGUCCGUGGUAGGAAUCAAUCCAAGGGCUACUUUCAGGUUCUACUAAGAGAAUUCUGAAUUCCCGGCUCUUAGUCAUUUCUCUAUGGAGGAGUGGGCGAAUAAAGACCCGGCAAAGGCAGAGCAAGCGCAUGGGAGGUGACACCAACCAAACUCCUGGUUAGGCGCACUCUCAUCGAUCCACCACAAAGUUUAACGACGUAUUCGACCGAGUUUGGAAGAAAAGAAAGGGGCAGCACAUUAUCCAUGUGAAAAUGGAGAUGCGGUUCGGUUCCAGCAUAUCCUCUCCAUAUCUCGCCGAUUCUUCGAUUGCAUACCUAUAAGCAGUAAGUGAUCCUGUUCCCACCCGAGAGCUUGUAGUUGCGAAUCUUGAAGAUCUCUAUGGUGGAUUUGAUCCCACAGACGCAUAGAGCAUCAGAGCCGAUUCACUAAGUCAAUUAGCCAGUUAAAGAACCUCCCCAACAGUGGAAACUCUUUAGCCAGUCGAUGAAGAUACCGAGACUUCACCUCUUCCUUCAAACAAUUGGGCACUACAUUCUAUAAAAAGAAAGUGAAAAUCAAAGGUAAACAAAAGAGAGAACAAAUACGACAGAAAGCGUCAGAGCUUCGAAAGCCUUAAAUUGAGCUUGAAAUUGAGUGUCCUUGAAUUGAGCCUGUUGUAUCCUUCCCAACCCAAGACGAAAAGGCGGUAACAGAACUACGACAACUCCGGAACACAUCAUGCAGUUUCUUUCAACGCAUGGGUUAUGGCCUAGGAGAACUCAUGCGACUAUUGGCGUUGGGGAAGCCAUGCGUUAGGUAAACCAACCGCACAUUUCAAGCGAAGGAGUGAAAGCUACUCGACUGUAAUGGUUGGAGAGGACCUACAACGAGUUGCGGUUGCUUCGCAAGCAAUACUCGACGGUAUAGCGCAUGCGUCUCAUCGUCUUGGGAGCACUCGUAGUUGUUUGAGUCGUUGCGUUAGGGCAAUACUAAGUUGCGGUUGCUUCUCAAGCAAUACUCGACGGUAUAGACCAUGCGUCUCAUCGUCUUGGGAGCACUCGUAGUUGUUUGAGACGUUGCGUUAGGACAAUACAACUACAAGAACCAGUCGUCCUAACGCUAGUGUCAAACCUACUUACAUUGUCCUUAUUAGCACUAGUCAGGUAGUUGUUCCGUAACACCACUAGUCGUAAUAGCACUAGUCCUUUUUGUUCGGUGUUAGGGGGACACACGGGUCGUCGCUAGCGUCAUCGGUUGUUUUGAACACAGAUUUGUCACACUAAUGGUUGUUUGGAAUGCUAAGGCCAAAAGGGAGGCGGUCGGGAACACUAAAGGCGCUUGCUCUGGGCGUUAGGGGCCGUUGCUCACGCAAGUGAACGGGUGUUUUGGAGCACUAAGGGCGACUAGUGGUUGCUUCGCUCGUCAAGACUGAAACCUUCGCUUGCACAACUAGAGUCGUUCCGGCACAUUGAGUUGUUACCAAUAGUAGUGUAAACAACAUUCUCGAAACUAGCGCAUGCGAUAUCCCUCGGUUUCUAUAUGGUAACAAGCAUGUCUUAGGGAAAGAGUAUAGCCGAAGGCGAUCCCAAUAACUACAGGUGCUAGGGAUCGUUUGCCAUAACGCUCUAACGCACGUUGUUAUGGGGCUUUAGAGAUCGCCUCCUCUUGCAAGCAACCGUCGGUCACAAAUGGGAAUAAUCAUACACUAUCAUAGGCGCUUCUAAUUUCGUUGGAGAUUCUCCAUGAAGCAUGACAUGAAAUCCGCCUAGCUACUUACUACUCUACAACACCUAAAAUAAAAAAUGAAAUGGAAUUCAAAUUGGUCGAGAAAAAGAACCGUGCUAGUCGUAAUUUGGGGAAAGAUAGAGAGAUCUCUAGGCUCUCCUGAUCAAAUUGAGAGUUCGUUUUGCCAGUCCAUGAAUAUGCCGCACCAUGCAGUUCAAGGAGUUGGAAAGAUACGGGUCGAAGCCCUGCCUCGAAAAAGUCAAGACUUUUAGGCAAAUUCCACUAUCCGACCCAUCUCUUUCUGACGAUUCCCCGGGUUGUCGGAAUCUCUGGUUCGAUCAGGACCAGGAGUCCCAUUCAUUCGUUUAUGGGAGCGACUCUCUGUUCCCAUUCUCCACCGGGUCAUCAAGUAAUUAGCCAGCUCAAUCCAUUUUUCCAUCCGAUGAUCUUCACCCUAGGACUGACUCUGUUCGACCUGCCUUGAUUGCCUAGCUAAUGGACUCUCUGUUCCCAUUCCACCGGGUCAUCAAGUAUUUAGCCAGCUCAAUCCAUUUUUCCAUCCGAUGAUCUUCACCCUAGGACUGACUCUGUUCGACCUCAUCAAGUAUUUAGCCAGCUCAAUCCAUUUUUCCAUCCGAUGAUCUUCCCCCUAGGACUGACUCUGUUCGACCUACCUUGAUUGCCUAGCUAAUGCUACCGUCGCAAGCAACCUCUCAAAGAAUAGGGAGUGAACGACCCUUCUAUCUGGAUCGGUGAUUCCGUUUGGCUGAUCCAGCUAUCGAAAGUCUUACAAGCAACCUACACUAAGCUAAGCGAGCUAGAAUCUAAUGUGAAUCUUUUUUGGCAUCUUUUUCUUUGCUUUCACCGCGACUUUGUUUGGUCUUCCUCUUUCCUUUGGCCCAUCUUUCAAAGCUAGCAAAAAGAUCGAGCCUUCGGGAUCUCUCUUGAACGGCGGUCGGUCAGUCCUUUUCUUUGGUUGAUGCUGAGACUGAUGCUUUGACUGUCUCCCAUAUCAUUCGAUAAUAAAGAUCCACUACUUGCCUUGUCGACGCUAAACUCAGUACCUCGCUUCCUUACUAGUACACCUACUAGACCCAUACUCAUUACGAAUGUGUUCACCAGACAUCUGACUUAGCAACUGACGCUAAGCUCGGUACCUCGCUUCCUUACUAGUACACCUAAUAGACCCAUACUCAUUAUGAAUAUGAAACCAGACAUCUGACUUAGCAACCUUCUGCUUAGACCGGCACCAAUAAGGAAGGAGAUCAAUGGAUAAUAGGAUAUAGAAGUCAGGUGCGAUGGUCAACUCAGUCAGAGCGGAAGCGGUCAGUCAAGGUUAUCGUCAGACAAUGUAGUGCAUGCCACGGGUAGCGCUUUCCAUAUGAAUAAGGCGACUAUAAUGGGAGACGAAGACGACGUGGGCUAACCAUAUAGAUGUAGCGCUUGCAAGGCUAUUCAGACGAUGUUAGCAAGAUGUAGCGCUAGCUAGGUUAGGGUAGCGCUUGCCAUAAAGAAGCUAGCCAGAAAGUAGGUAAGGCAGGCGAGCGAUAGUACAAGCAUGCUAACACGCAGGCGAGGUUGAAGGGGUCUUGCAAAACCUUCGGAUUAUCGCAAGCACAACCUUUGACCCUUUCGUCGACAACCUCUCAUUUGUUUGACUACUCGCGGGGCCAGCUGCGUUUAGGUAUAAGAAGCCCCACCCGGGAAAAGAGUGUAAAGCAGUACUGAUGUUAAAUUGUGUCCCUUGUUAACGAAAGAGCUCAUGCCAUAAAUUGCUAAUGAAGACCGGGUUCCCAGUCGCUGACAAUUGUGUGUGGCAUUCCAUGCAAUGAAUAUAUCUGUCAAAGACAUAUACAACGUAGAUGUUUUUCUUUGCCUUUCAAGAUAUUGCGUUUAAAGAGAAAGAUAGCUAGUCCUCUUGGGCGGCCGAGAGUGUUAUGUAAAAAGGAGCAAGGAGGAUCUUAUCCUAAAGGAGUAGGAGGAGGAGUAGGAGCUAGCUUUAGGGGCAGAAUCGAAGCGAAUAAAUUAGUUCAUGCCACGACGAUCUAUAUGGAAGGGAUGUUUUGUUGAUGCAUUCCUCUUGAGAAUGAAGAAGAAGAGAGAUCCUCUUUUAAACAGGAAAAUUUGGUCAUGUGGAUUUUCUAUUUCGCCGGAAUUCGUUGGUUGCUCCGUACGAAUUUACAAUGGAAAAACUCUUGUUCGUCGUAAGAUUACUGAAGGAAAGGUUGGUCAUAAAUUUGGAGAGUUUACUUCUACACGGAAACGAAGACCUUCGAGAACAAAUAUAUGACCGGGAAGAAAAAAGGGGAAAAAGUAAAUUCUAAGCGCAUACGGCACGAAAGGGAAAUCCUAUUUCGGUAAGACUUCAUCUGAAUCGUAGUUCAAAUUCAAGUUGGUUUAGUGCGGGUGACCGCGAAAGUCACCGAAUGGGAUAGUCUUUUAGUUCUCCCAGAUUCGAAUAACAAAGGAGGACGUUGCAGAUGCCCGGGGCGGACACGAAUUCUUCUAAGGCUAGAAGACCACUGGAUGACACCCAGGACUAUAGCAUGUUGUGAAAGAAGCACACUGGACGAGCGUGCUUCGACCGUGUCUCCGGGGCAUAGUUGAAUGUAGAUAUCAUGAACACGACGUGCAAAAUACCAGGCCGAGAAACCCGGGCAACCAUUCCCCUAUGUUCCAAUCGCUAGCGCAUCCAGGGCCCGGCGCCCAGCUCAGUUGAACAGGCCUAUCCUGAUCUGAGAAGUGCUAAUUCGGUUCAGAUAGACUUCAUUCAAGAAUGCCACCGCCCUAGGAAUCAAUAAGAAAACAAGUACUAAGUUUCAGAUCAGUGAAUAAAUCGAAAGGAAAGAAGAUACCUUUCUCGCCCAGCGCCUAAAGUGCACUAUGCUCCGCUUCAAAAAAUGAGAGUUUUCGGUGGAACCAGUGAACCACGCGAGCUGGUUAGAUACGUGGGACAGAGGGCUUGUAGUACCUGCUAGCGUGGCUGCGCAUUGGAAGGGAAAGAGCCUAAUUCAACCCCCUCUUUUUUCCUUUGAAAAAAGCAGUAAGGAGUAAGGAGAUUAAACUCUCGGAUGGACUAAGCAACUACCGACCAUUCCGACACGCCCUUGAUCUAUUUUGAUUAAGACCAAAAACCUAUCUCUAAAGUGGAGCCUAGUUUAAGCUGUCAAACAAGUAAUGAUUGAAUGAAAGAAAAACAACUAGUAGGGAUAUGGAUGAAGUCUCGCUCAGUAAAGAGAGUGUUAGGAUUCGUAAAACAGGAGAAGAGCCUUUUCUUUCAAAUGACAACUGCUUCUUCCUGCUGCGAGGGUCUUGAAACCAAACCGCCCCCCCGCCCGAUCAAGUACAUGUUGCUUCGCUGGUAGGCCUACUUAGGUUAGGGUUCCAAACCUCAGUUCUUACCAACCUCCGGUGUGUAAUCUACAUCUUUCUAGCUAGAACUCGGUCGAAUAAGAAUCAUUGAUUCCCUCUGCUGUCAAUUUCUUAUUCAUUCAUUGCGUUCGGCCGGUGCUCCUUUCUCAUCUCAAACCAUAACUACUCUGAGCGUUAGGGAAGAUAAGGGAAGACCGCCUGAGCGAAGCGACCGAAGGAACUUGACUUAUCCGAACCGAACGAUAGCGGCUUUUCAAUUUCUUAUUCAUUCAUUGUGUUCGGCCGUUGCUCCUUUCUCAUCUCAAACCAUAACUACCCCGAGCGUUAGGGAAGAUAAGGGAAGACCGCCUGAGCGAAGCGACCGAAGGAACUUGACUUAUCCGAACCGAACGAUAGCGGCUUAAAGCGUUGCCUAUCACGAGCAGCCUCGCUCCUUGAUCGGCGGGGAGGAGCAUCUACGAACGAUAGCGGCUUAAAGUGUUGCCUAUCACAAGCAGCCUCGCUACUUGAUCGGCGGGUAGGAGCAUCUCAAAGUAUGGGGAAAAGGAUGUUGCGUUUUGACUUUGUCGCCCGGGAUCCACCACAGGUUGGGUUUGAGAGCCGUGUUAUAGGUGACUAUCCAGCACGGUUCAGAGAGCACUUUUAGUCUGCCUUGGUAAAUGGAAGCCCCCCCUAUCAACCAAGAAGGAAGCGGCUCUUCCCACGGCGGAGUCCCCAUUGACUCUAUUUAUUAUUAUGGUAAAUCAGUGUAUCAAGAUGUCAACAUGAGAUCUUAUUUCGGUUUGAUACGUCUACCUACGAGACUCACCUUUGGCUUUCGUCUAGGUAGGUGUAUUAUUAAACAUUUUCCCAAAAGAACAUUCAUUCAUUUCUUUCUUCCCUGUCGACCACGAUGACUGAAACGACGCAAAAAACCCAGUCCCGUAAAGGAGAAGGCCGGUGGGGGGCAUUUGGGAAAGUCGGGCCGAUCGGGUGUCUUCAUUCAAGCAACGGUACAGAAGAAGAACGAAACGAAGUGAGAGGCCGGGGGGCAGGGAAAAGAAUCGAGUCGAUCAGGCUUGACGAUCGGGAGAAGCGAAACGAAAUUAGGAUUUGGCCGAAAAAGAAGCAAGGCUUUGGAUACCAUGACCGAUCACCAUCGAUAAAGAACAAUCUUUCUAAAUCACUUCGUGUCAGCGGGGCCUUCAAGCAUCCGAAAUACGCCGGGAUUGAAAAUGACAUAGCGUUCCUGAUAGAAAAUGACGACUCCUUCAGAAAAACAAACUUAUUCAAGUUCUUUUUCCAAAAGAAGUCCCGCUCCGACCUCCCGACGAGUCAUCUACUUCAAAGGACCCUCCCCGCAUUCCUCCCUUCCUUGAAUUAUUCGGUCAUGCAAUACUUUUUGAAUACAAAGAAAAACAUUCAUUCCUACCCCAUCGUAGUUCUCAAUCAUUUUGUGGCACCGGGCGUGGAUGAACCAUCUACGAUGCGGGGAGCUAAUGCACAGGGAAGAAGGUUGGAUAAAAGAAUAUGUUCUUCCAUCGCUUUUUUUGUAGAAAUCUCGACCAGCGAGAAAAAGUGUUUGGACGAAGCCAAAAAGAGGGUGACCCACUUUAUUCGCUAAGUGAAUGAUCUUCGCUUCGCGGGAACAACAAAAACCACCAUCUCGCUCUUUCCUUUCUUCGGUGCUACCUUUUUUUUUCCAAGGGAUGGGGUUGGGGUGUAUAAUAACCUUUUUUUUGAGGAUGCCCGGGAACAACUCCUAGGUCAAUUAAGGAUAAAAUGUUGGAACCUCAUGGGUAAGGAUAAGGUAAUGGAAUUGAUAGAGAAAUUCAUAGACCUAAAUAGGAUAGGAGAAUUGAUAAGGGGAAUAGAGAUGAUGAUAGAGAUCAUACUGAGAAACAUAAGAGUUUCGUACGGGUAAAACUAUUUUUUGAACGAAGUGAAAAAAAUGCGAUCGUUGUUUUAUAAUAGAACAAACACUAAUAGCUUAAUUGAAUCGGUCAAGAAAAAAUCUGUUUAUCAAAGUGCUUCUCCGAUUGCUCAAGACAUCUCUUUUCAACCGAGGAACAAAACAAGAUCCUUUCGUUUCAUUUUUAGUAAAAUAGUGAAGGAUAUUCCAUUAGUAAUGAAAAAAGUGGUGGAGGGUAUCAGUAUAUGUUGUUAAGGUCGAUUAGAAGGUGCAGAAAUAGCUAGAAUUGAAUGCGGAAAGUAUGGACAUACAUCUCGUAAUGUAUUUAACUAAAAAAUAGAUUAUGCUCCUGCGGAAGUAUGUACUCGUUACGGAAUCUCAGGUGUCAAAGUGUGGAUUUACUAUAGUAAAAAAAAGGGACGUGCUAUAUCUGAAACGUACGAGAUAUAGUAAAUAUCGUAAAGGCAGAUGUAGUAGGGGUUGCAAACCGGACGGUACACAACUUGGUUUUGGAAGAUAUGGCACUAAAAGUUGUAGAGCUGGUCGUCUUUCAUAUCGAGCCAUUGAAGAAGCGCGUCACACUUUAAUCGGACACUUCCAUCGUGCUAUGAGCAGACAAUUCAGAAGAAAUGGUCAGAUAUGGGUAAGAGUUCUCGCAGAUAUCCCUAUUACCGAGAAACCUACAGAAGUAAGAUGGGAAGAGGAAAGGGAAAUCCUACGGGUUGGAUUUCUCGUGUGUCCAGGGGACAAAUCCUAUUUGAAAUGGAUGGUGUGAGUUUGUCAAAUGCUUGACAGGCCGCUACAUUAGCGGCGCAUAAACUAUGUUCGUCAACCAAGUUUGUUCAGUGGUCGUAAGCUUAUAAAUCUGACCCAAAUUCUCCAUUUUGGUACACGCAAAAGCGUUCCAUUUCGGAAGAUUGAAAGAGCCAUCAAUCACUAUGAUCUCUUUCUUAGAAAAGAAACUGAGUAAAUUCUUCCUUUUUUCUCCCAUGCUUUCUGUUGGUCAACAACAAACUAAAGUGCUCUAUACUUCUUCACUACUCGUAUAGGGAAGGUGGAAGAAAUGAAGUCUCUCUUUUUUUGGGGGGAGCAGAGCAGUCAAAGAAUGAACCAAACCAAAUGAUUGUUCUAGAAUGGCUAUUCCUCACAAUUGCUCCUUGUGAUGCAGCGGAACCAUGGCAAUUAGGAUCUCAAGACGCAGCAACACCUAUAAUGCAAGGAAUAACAGACUUACAUCACGAUGUCUUUUUCAUUGCUCCUUGUGAUGCAGCGGAACCAUGCAAUAAGGAUCUCAAGAUGCAUCAACACCAAUAAUGCAAGGAAUCACAGACUUACAUCGUGAUGUCUUUUUUUUCGUUAUUCUGAUUUUGGUGUUCGUAUCCUGGAUCUUAGAUCGCGCUAUAUGGCAUUUCCACUAUAAAAAAAUCCAAUCCCACAAAGGAUUGUUCAUGGAACUACUAUCGAGAUUCUUCGGACCAUAUUUCCUAGUAUCAUCCCUAUGUUCAUUGCUAUACCAUCAUUUGCUCUAUUAUACUCAAUGGACGAGGUAGUAGUAGAUCCAGCCAUUACAAUAAAAGUUAUUGGACACCAAUGGUAUCAGAGUGCUCCUCUCCACGAGGGUGAUUAAAGUGCAACGAAAUGCCUUAACGUUGAAUAUGGUUCGCAAAGCAUCUGGCUUACCAGUAAUCUCCCAUUCCCGCCGUCGAGAGACUUUAAUAACUAAUUCAUUCCAGAAGCGGGGAGUUGAGGUGGUUAGACCUAUACCCUGAAAUUCUCCCACCAUAGAAGCCUAUGGUUCCAUUCUUGUUGUUGCUGGAGGUACACAUCCCUAUUCUCGGUGUGGAACGAUAUACGAGAAAUAGAUGCUCAGCCUUCAAUGUCCGAUAACAGCGCUGAAGUAGCUAAUCUAUCGGCACCAUAGCAGUGGUAUACAACUUUGGACCUAACGGCCAGCCUAGUAACCUUUCAGAAUGGGGGAACCCUGUUGGCAACAACCACGGUAGUAGUUGCGGAACUACUGGGCCGGGAGAGGACAACCUCUUGUUCCUGCUCCUCUUUCUUCGCUUCGGGGACGGAGGUCCUACGGUAGGUAACAGCAGGCACAAGCAAGUUGACCGAAGGGGACCAGCGCUUCUACUCCUCCACCGAGGAGCCGUUCUUGCGAGAAGCAAGGGAUGUCGUGAAUUACGGUAGGUAACAGCAGGCACAAGUAAGUUGACCGAAGGGGACCAGCGCUUCUACUCCUCCACCGAGGAGCCGUUCUAGCGAGAAGCAAGGGAUGUCGUGAACGGUGGGAGGUCAAAGAGAAUUGAACUAUUCAUAGAGUGAUCCUAUGAUUGAUACAGGAUAUAGACUAUCUCAUUCUUUAUUCUAUUCUAUUUCUGAAAGAUAAAAAAAGAAGGGUGACUCAACUUCUCAGCUAGAGUUGGUGGUGGGACCUGUUGGCAUAAUGUACGCUGGAACGUGGGAAUUCGAGGUCUUGUGAACUACUACUAAAAACCUACUUUAUUUUUGUUUUGUUUGUGGACAGACGAUAUUCGGUCAGGCCUAUGGCUGGAUCCUUUUAGAUCUACAGGCCGGCCGGCCCCGGCCGUUUACAUGAGCAUAGAGAAUCUACACUCAAGCGUUCCACUGGGCCCCUGACAGGAUAGGUGAGGAAUCACACUGGAUCUUCUUUUUUUGGGCUACAACUUAGCCGAGCCGACUAGCAUCCCUUCCCACUGUGCAUUUUUCAAACAAAGAAGAUGACUAUAGGAUCGAAUUCGCACUUCAAGAAACUUCUCGUCCCAUACCUUCUACUUGUCUCAUAUGUGUAGAACCUGGUCUUUUUUGUUUCCAGACUCUCCCUCGAAUACAUAAGGCAGGUAAGGCUGGGUGAGAAAUGGUUCCUUCUUGCCAAUAAACUUUCCCUGGCCUUCGAUUAACCUUACUCAUAAAGGGUCUUACAGUCGGGAGAACUACCUAACUAAAGAAAAAUAGUGUUCUUUCUAAGAGUAGGCGUGGACAGCUUUUUGCGGGGACACUUGCAAGUACUGUUUGGGGGGAGGCGGGCGUCGACCCUACCUUAUGAGUAUUCGGACUAUAUCAUUGUCCAUGUUGGGCUGACUCUAUUAGGCAAGAAGACCCCUACUGAUAUUGGCUGACCUGUUGAUAGGCUAUAAGUAGGCCAUUUGCCAUUGCUAUAAAGGCUGCUCGCCUUUAUACGGCUUGGCUUCGCAUUCGCUUGUAAUGGUCGACAGUAUUCCUGCCAUACUAGUAUUCCAAUUAUUUAGAGCUAGAAGAUUCGCCAGAAGCAAGCAAGAUGAGGUUGCUCUGCUUGUAGACAAGGCUCAUUCCGUACCUUACGAGCUCGUGUAGUACUCACCCCUAUCUCUAAAGGGGCUUAUGCACUCCACUCACUGUCUACUAAACGAGCAUUAGAGCGAGCGAGCGAAGCCCUCAAUUUAGUGGCUUCCCUCACCCUCCUCUUUCAUUUCCGCUUAAGCUUCCGUGCUUUGUGGGAUUAAUUGAUUGGAUACCCGAGACCCAUAAUCUUUCCUAGGAACAGCUUCUACGACGAUAGGCAUAAAGGCAUGAUUAGUUCCACAAAUCUCACUGCACUGACCAUAGUAUAGACCCAUAAUCUUUCCUAGGAACAACUUCUACAACGAUAGGCAUAAAGGCAUGAUUAGUUCCACAAAUCUCAUUGCACUGACCAUAGUAAACUCCUUCUCGUUGUACCGAAAUAGAGGUCUGAUUUAAACGACCAGGUACAGCAUCACAUUUGACACCUAAGGAAGGUACAGCCCAACUAUGAGGUACAUCAGCAGAUGUUACAAUAAAACGUAUAUAACUUUUUGCUGGUACAACCACUCUAUUGUCGACUUCUAAUAAACGUGAUUGACCCAAUUCUGGAUCAUCUUCUGGAAUCGUAUAACUGUCAAAAGUGAGUGACUGUUCAUCGGAACUGUUAUAGUCCGAAUACUCAUAAGGUAGGGUCGACGCCCGCCUCCCCCCAAACUGUAACAUCACAUUUGACACCUAAGGAAGGUACAACCCAACUAUGAGGUACAUCAGCAGAUGUUACAAUAAAACGUAUAUUACAUUUUGCUGGUACAACCACUCAAUUGUCGACUUCUAAUAAAUGU
rnacentral:lncRNA from 1 species